rnacentral:lncRNA from 1 species
AUACUGAACAGGUUUUUUUAGUAACGUUAAUCCAUACCAAAGCCUCAAGUUCAUGCAUAAGAUUUCCAAUCAUUAGAAUUUAAACUGCAAAAGCGGGUUUAAAUUAAAAAAAGUACCCGCUUAUCAGGUCCCACAAUAUGGAGAGCCCUCGACGGAAGUGCCUUCCCCUUGGAGUCCUUCUCGUCCGGGUCCACCAUGUUCAGCUCUUUGAUCACCUCCCCCUUCGGAUCCGCCGCUAUCGGAUAUGUUACAUGGCAACCCGGCUGUACUCAAAUAUUUUCCCCAAAAAUAGGAAAAAAAAAAGUGCUGAAAUUAAUUACUGGGCAGCAAUAUAUAUGGUACCAAAUGAAAAUUAAAUAAAUAAAUAUAUAUAUAUAUAGAAUUAAGUUGCUAUACUAUUAAUAAUACAAAAUACAAAAUGCUUGGUGUUAUUAGAUUUUUUUAGUUCUUGGAUGAACAGACGUACGGUUAGUUAGUAAGGUUAAGUGAGUAGUUGUUAAAUAUAUAGUACAAUCUACAAUCUAAUAAUCUAAUAGAUAAGAAUAAUCAAAGAAUAGAUUUAACGAACAAAAAAAUCGAUAAUAUCGAGCAUGUGAUACUAUUGAUACGAUUGAUAGUAUAGUAACCGAAAACUCGCUCUUUCUCUCUCUCUCUAUAUAUAUAUAUAUAUUAGAUAAAAUGAUUGGCCAAUUGAUUAAUUUUGAUCGAUCACCGUGUAGGCCUCGAUGUCUUUGAUCCACUCCUUGUGNCUCUAUAUAUAUAUAUAUAUUAGAUAAAAUGAUUGGCCAAUUGAUUAAUUUUGAUCGAUCACCGUGUAGGCCUCGAUGUCUUUGAUCCACUCCUUGUGCGACUCGACGCUGUCGCACGACAGUCCCAGCAGCUUCACCCCGCGCUUCUCGAACUCCGCCGCGUACGCCGCCAUCUUCCCCAGCUCCGUCGUGCACACCGGCGUGAAGUCCCCUGCGAAAUCCAGUCAAAGAUUCCCCAAAACUAUUACUGAAAAUUAAAGAAGAAACGCUACGAGCUAGUGGAAGUGCUUCUACACGUACGAAGCAUGCAUGUGUAUAUAUAUAUAUAUAGCAUGCACGAACUAACAAGUAGCCACUUCAUCCGUACCGGGGUGGGAGAAGACGAUGGCAUAGCCGUCGCCGACGAACUCGUGGAUUCUGAUCUUGCCGUGGGUGGUCUCCAACGCCAGGUUGGGGAUGGUGUCUCCGAUCGUCAGCCCCGGCAUGGCUUCUUCCCAACCUGAUCGAUCGAUCCAACUACUUCUUCAACACGUACUAGUCUUACUGGUGAUUACUAACUAACUAGCUACUACACACUUCUAGCUACUUCUAUUAAUUCCGAGAAAUGGUUUUUGGAACUGGGUUUGGGCUUCUCAUUUUUAUAGCAGAUUAAAAGUGGCGACACGUUUCGAGCACGUGGAGACACGUGGAUGGCGUCGUGGCAGCAGGUUUGUUAUUUUAUUUGUCGAAAGAUGAGGGAUGUGUACAUGGAUCCGUACCCACUGCCCGUUGCCACCGAAACGUGUCAUGCUGUUCUUCAAAGUGACGAGCCUUUGAAACUUGUAACGGCCUUUACGUACAAUAAUAAUAACUUAGGUCUCAUAUUAACUUUUUAUUUUUUAAAUUAAAACUUUAUAUAUUAAAAAAAAUACAGAAAAGAGUAAUAAAUUAUAAAAAUUAUUCAACAUAUUUAUUUAGUAAUAAAAAAUAAAAAUUUAAAAUAAAUUAAUGUUUAUUAUUUAAUUGGAUUCACUAUAAACUAACCAUUAAGAAUAAUAAAAAUUUACUUCACCACAUUAAAUAAUAUAGGACUAAUAUAUUUUUUUUUUUUGAGAGGAAGGUAGCACGCUACCCGCUUCAUUCAUUGAUUUGGUGAAUUAAGCUACAAGUGUGGGGCAACUAGGCCCCGCGGAAUGGUCAAGGCAAGGUUAAAAAAAAAAAAAAAAGGUACAAAAGUACUAAAUUGAUCCGAGCAGCGGUUCCCACUCCUUCAGCAGUUUCUUGAGACUGUUUACCGCUAUCCCUGGGUUAGGCCAGAUAUUCCGAAAGAUCAUAUCGUUCCUGGCCUUCCAGAUAAUCCAUCAUUAUUAGGUCAAUAAGACCGGAGCGCUUGUUCAGAUGUGUGUUUUUCUCCCUCCACCUGUCCCAAACUAGGUUCACAUCGACCCCCAGAUCAAGAGCUUGGAUGUCUUCCACCCCUGUCACCUAUACAAACUUACCAAAUACACACUUGGUGAAUAGAUGAUCCGCUGAUUCAACCUCCAUCCCACAAAGCACACAGGUUGGAUCCUGAAUCCACCCUCGCUUGACAAGCCUAUCUCUUGUGAGGAUUCUUUUCUUGAGAAGCAGCGACACGAAAACUUUAACUUUCAGUGGGAUUGUAAGACUCCAAAUACGUGUGGCUCGUUCAUGUCUCGUACCGCCGUCCAACAAAGCCGAAUAGGUGAAUUUGACCAAGAAUAUAGGACUAAUAUUUAAAAAAAAAAAAGGUUGAGGAUAUAAAAUGAGGCCUAUUCUGAAUCUCUGAUACUCAAAUUAUAAUAUAUGUCACAUCUUAAUUCUCAAAUUUUAAUUUAUUAUAAUUUUUUUAAUUUAAAAUUUAAAAAUUAUCAAUUAUUCAAAUUUCACAAUCUAAUAAUUUUUUUUAAUGUUCUCAAAGAUCUUCGUGCGUGUUACGCCUUUGACUCUAACCCGGGCCGGUCUGGAGCAAGUCAAAGUUAAUAUCCUUUCCAACGAGAAAGAGGGAAUUUUGAAAAAGGGCUUCGAAUAUUUCGACCAUAAUAAAAGCCUUCAAAUUAACCGAUCUGACCUGCCAUCCCAUUUCCCAGCAAGUAUGGAAUAUCGCUGGAAAGGCAUAUCAUUAAACAGUGCAUCUUUCUUUUUUUUUUCUCUUUUUCGAUUCCCAUAUUAGUUUUGUAAUUUAAAAAAAAAAAAGAAAAAAAAAAGAACUAAACUAGUUAACUUCGGAUCGAGAAAAGGUGACAGCUGAAUCCACGAGAUAACACUACUGGUUCAAAGGAGAAAUGUGCAAAACAAUCAUGGUAUUCCUCAAUUCCUUUCCUAAAUUGGGCGACUCAUCUCCACAAUUAUGCAUCUUUUCCCAUUUAACUAAUUGAGAUAGCAUAUCAUGCGGGUUGAGUAGGUUGUAUGUACCUUCCCACAGUAUCUUCUUUUCUGAUCACACCAGAAAAAGGAUAUUUCAGCUCAAGAGAGAGACCAAUAGCCGGACAGAUUUUGAAAGUAGACAAAUGGUGGCUCUAUCAUGGGGGAAUCUGUGCUCACUAUAACAAGCAACAACAGGAAAUUUAAGCACACAAUUAAUGUGAAAUUGCACAGAAAAUUUAGCAGUAGAUGAGCACAGAGUACUUAUUCUGAAAGCUGAUCUCUUCGUUUACGAAGUGGUAGAAAUUUCAUUUCAUUCAGACUCUCCAGUGUAAAGAUGUGCGGCAUAUAAUUAGUUCAGCUGGAAGGUAUCUACUAGUAAAGAUAUGGUAACAGCUUAAAGCUGAGAUGCGUAUUUGAAUAGCAACUUAGAACCACAACAAUCCAUGUCUACCAUCUUGUCGAACGGAUGGAACGCCAAAAUUGGCUUUGAAUUGUUAACAACCCUUCUCAAACAAGCCAAAAUUGGUGUCCGCAUACAAAACAAACACUUAAUACAUCGUCCAAGAUUUUAAUACUUUUGCUCCUUUCAUGUACUUUUCUUAAGGCACAAAGCAGCAACAGCAACAACAACAACAACAACAACAAAAGAGUCCUUCCCCUUCUAUAUUCUGAAUCUCACAGUCCAACCCAUUCUAAAGCCCUCAAAUAGUGGUUACUGAUAGAGCUGUUCGAAAGCAGUGAAGGAUCAACGUACAAAAGUACCACCAGUUCCCCAACUGCAUCAAACUUCUUUAAGACGAGUAAAUAGAUGUACAGAGAAAGGAACAAGUAUGGUAAUCAGUGGCUAAUGCCUACCUGGUUGUGAUUGUCAGAUGAGUCAUUUAGACCUAAGCAAGUCAGUGAUUGUCAGAAGAGUCAUUUAGACCUAAGCAAGUCACAAAAUCGCAGACGGAGACUUUGGCAUAUAUACUUGUCUUGCUGGGGUUUCCACAUUACAUUCAACUAACAGGUUAAAACAUGAUGCACGCGACCAAAGUUGAACUAGCACACAAGCAAUGACCUAACGAACUUGAUCCAGCACAAAGUUAGUAAGAAGAUUCACAUGGGGAGUGGUAAAUCGGUAAUACCGUCAUGCAAAGGUUACUGAACAUUAUAAGAAAUCAAAAUGGUCUAUAGAUAAGAAGCUCAAGUAAUAAAAGUGUUAACAACUUACAAAGGUUCUGUCUGCAUCUGAAUCGAAUGCCUCAACAAAGAUAAACUCCGGGCAUUGAUCUACUACUCCUGUUAGAGAAUCAAUGAUGAAUAAUUCAAAUCACAUCCCCAUCCAUCUGACGAUUCAAGCAAAUCUGCUUGCUCCGAACUCGUAGCAAAUCCCCACUCUCACGCCUCUGUACAAAUACAAUGACAGCUCUCCUUCUUCUUUUCCUCCUCCUUGUGAGACAGAAGAACAAACAGGUGGUGUGCAUUACGACGUCUCACCGCCGUCGCCCGUCUCAGCAGCGUUCUUUGCAGCCAUCAGCUCCAAGUCCCUCUCCAACUCCUCCUUCCGCCUCUUCAUCGCCUCCAUGUAAUCCCUGUGCCCCUCCUCCAUCAUCUCCACGAACUUAUCCUUGAUCGCCAGCAGCGGAUCGCGGUCGACGAGCUCCCCGAGCUCGUCGUAGGCCUCGCGCAGCAUCGCCGUCUUGAUCCCGCCCUUGAGCGAGACGUAGAAGAUGCCGGGGUGGCGGGUGAAGGCGCUGGCGAAGGCGUUGGAGAGGCGGAACUCGUCGCAGAACUUGCCGAGGAUGGGGACCGCGGCGCGCUUGUGGAGGGUGAGGGAGAGCAGCUCGUGGAGCAACCCCACGGCGCGCUUCUCCAUCUCGCGCGAGGCCGGGUGGAGGGCGGAGGCGUCGGCGUAGGGGGAGAUGUAGGGGAGCUCGAGCCAGUCGCGCGCCCACUCGCGCAUCUCCUUCUUGAGGUAGAAGCCCCUGGGGAGGCGGACGGCGAAGUUGGGGCGCAUGCGGACGCCGGUGAGCUCGGACUCGGCGUCGGCGCGGGCCUCGACGGCGGAGCGGGCGUAGGAGUGGUCCCAGGCGACGAGCUCGACGAAGCAGGGGCCGUGGCCGGGGUGGCCGGAGAGGCGGAGGAGGUCCGGGUGGGCGGGGACGAGGGAGGUGAGGAGGUCGUCGGGGAAGCCGAAGUCGCGCUUGACGCAGAGGAGCUUGUCGGCGGGGAGGGCGCGGUGGCGGGACAUCAUGAGGAGCUUGACGAGCUUGGCGAGGAGGAGGGGCUCGUGGAGGGAGAGGAGGCGGUCGCGGAGGGCGAGGAAGGAGAGGAGGGAGGGGGACGGGCGGAGGAAGGGGACGGCCGGGGAGGGGGAGGAGGGCCGGAUGCGGUCCGGGUAGAGCUCGAAGAGGUUGGGGUAGCGGCGGAGGAAGGUCGGCACGCGGAGGGGGAGGCGGAGGCGGGGGCGGCGCUUCUCCAGGUAGCGGAGCGGGAUGCGGACGGCCGGCUACCGCGAGAACCUCCCGGAUCGCACGCGCCCAGCAGAGGCCGUAACCGCUUGUCCGCUCGAUGGCCGAGUCCAGCGCGCGGGUCCCGCCCCCCACGGCACCUUCAGGCUCGACACCCCUGCGUCGGAGACACACACACCGUUUCGCGCGCCCUGCCUGCUGCUGCUGCUGACCGCUGACCGAGCGUCUGUCAGGGACGAGAAGAGCGACGAGGACGAGGGCAUGGCGCUCUCUGUCUCUGUCUCUCUCUCUUCCGUUUCGGCUUCUGCUCAUGAAGCUGCUGAACCAAGCACAUGAUACGUGAUUAUACGCACAUAUAUUUAUGUAGACAAUAUUAUUGUUAUAUGACAAAAUUUUUGAAUGCGAAUAACACCCAAACCAACCGUGAAGGCGUUAAGUAAUAAUAUAUUAUUAGUCUAAUAAGUAGCAAAAUUACAGAAAACAGCCUCCCUACAAAUCGCGAAAUCCGGCAGAUCAAAGGAAGCCUUUGGACCAGGCUCCUAAAACUAGCAGCAGGUACAUAGCCACAAGUAACAAAUGAAUGUAUACAACAAUAUAUAACCAAAAUCUGGCCUCACAGUUUUCACUACGACUAAUUUGAAGAAGGAGAAGAAGAAGAUCAUCUGCUUCCCAAAAUUGAAUUAAAUUAUGAAAUACAACAAGUUUCCUCCUCCAUUAUUAGCCACGAAGAUACACAAUAGUUAUCCUACUUUGGCUUCACGAUCAACUCUGUUGUUAUUCCGCUUCUGCCGCAGAGAUUCAUCCUGAGAAACAGAGAACAAAACUACUUGUUUAUAAAGUUCACGAAUUAGGCUACUACAACAAUCACAUCGAGGAAUGAGAAACGAAACAAUGUGGAUUUGAAUGGCUUCUACCUUAAUACAGACGUAAAUAUAAUGAACAUCUGGGUUCGAACCGAGAAGUGCAGCCACAGAGGUUCCAUCUUCGUUUAGCCGCAAUGGUUUGGUUAGUUCCCAACUUUUCUGCUCCGGACUUCUGUCCAAUCUGUCUACAAUACCCCCAAAUAUAUUCAUCAGUUACAAUUCUAAUUAACAUAAGGAGACAGUACUAUGUCCAGUGUAAACAUUGAAAGAAGGAAAUAUUGCAUAUUAAAAUGGUGGUGAGAACCGCCUCUGAAGAGCUACAGCGGGAUGCUUCUCUGGUGGCAGUUCACACCACCAGUUCAUAGCAUGAACUUCGUACAAAGAAACAUCAUACAGAAACAUCUGGGAAGAUCAACACAACAACAAAAGCCCUGAUUUAAACCUUACAUUCACAAACAAAAAAAAAAAUAAGCACUUCAAAAAGUUAUUCGCCAUAAUUAAAUUACGAAACCAAGAAACUAGCUUCCCAAAAUUAUUGCAGGUAAAUUUCCAGCUAAAUGAUUCUGUUGAAUAAAUUCUGUUCAUAUCUUCGACUUUCCAAUUGACUGCCAUUUUAAUAACAGUGCCAUACUGAAAGGUCAUGGUAGAGGUAAGUCAAACUUCUUACAUUGAUUGAUUUGAUAUGGUCCAUAUCAUGAAGCUUCUCAUUUUCUAUGAUUUACCUAUUAUUCCUUGCAGCUUAUUAAAUAUCAUCCAAAUAGUAAUAUAAUUAUGUGAACAAUACAUCACUGUAACAUGUCUGCGACUGUAAUAUGUUUUAACAUUACUUUUGUUCAGAUGGAGUACCAUCUUAACACAUAAGAGAAAAUUUUGUCUACUCCAACUAAUCAAAGCAUAUUCAAUAGAGAAAACUACAACAUUGACAGCAGAAAUAGAAACAUGAAGCGGACAUGGAGCUUGAGUCAUUGAAAUGAAAUUUUUAAAAAAAGGAACUAGAAAAAUUACAAUGAGAAGCAAAUAUAUACAGAUAAUUGGCCUCACGAUUUUUCUCGGACAAAAGGCCACAGCACACGUAUCUAGAUACUGAUGCAGUAUAAAGAAGAUAAGGUAAAUAUCAAACCAAAAAAUUGGAUAUUCCAUAAGUAAUGAGAAUCCACAAAUUGAUCUAAAAGAAGUAAACAAGCACUAGAAGUGGUGUUGACUAACCUAUUACAUGCAUAUUUAUUGUCCACGUGUCCAAGUUCUUCAGUACACACAAUCGAUAACUUGGAUCUCCAUACGUAAUCUAUAUCACAAAAAUAAGUCAGAUAAGUUGGAGAGACAUGUUAUUGCCUAGUCUUGAAAGAAACACCAAAUAAUAAGGAACUACUUGAUAGAAGAGAAAAGCACCAGGAUGUAAACUCCUUUGUCCUUGAGAACUCUGUUAGAUGGUAGAGAAAAGUUGACAGAAGUAAGAUAAACUAAAAUCUAAAAGAGAACAAAUCACAGGGUCCAAACAAAACAUAAAACAACAACUAAGACUUCAAUCUCACGUAUGAUAAACAUCAGUUCUUGCAUGAUGAUUUAGUACCUGGCAACCUCCUCCAGCAUCUUAGUUGCAUUUUCAUGUGCAUUAUGCCCACACUAUAAGUUGACAGAAUGGAUUAAUUAGCAAUGUUCCAAAUAAAAAUGCAGAGUAUACUAGCCAAUUAUAACUCACCAUGAUGGAGUCGAGAGUUCCUGCAAACAAAACAUAAAUUAGGCCUAAGAAUCUUAUAUGAACAGGUUUCAAGAUCCAAGGAGGUGUUGUCAUAAACUGACAUAUACAUAACUAAGAAGAAAGACGUUACAAAAUUUUCCAAUAGGGAAAUAAACCAGAUAUCAUAAGCUAUUCAAUUGGUAGAAAAAGACGCUUGAGCACCUUUUAAAAACCCAUGAAUGCAGUAAGUACCUUUAUCAAUGACACCAUCAAACGAAUUAGAUUCAAAACCAGCCAUGUCUCGAACGUCCAUUUUAAGAUCUGCCAAAACAGUUUGGGAAAAGAAAUAGUAAGUACAAAAAUUUUCAUAGAGAAUACUCAGGGUGGUUGUAACAUUCACACCGAGAAAGCCCGGAGAGAGAGAGAGAGAGAGAGAGAGAGAGAGAGAGAGAGAGAGAGAGAUACACUUUAGGGCUGGCUUAUCUUUGUAUUUUUGUUGCAUGGCUUCAAUCACCACUGUAGAUAUAUCUAUGUUAAUGAUAUCUUGAUAUCCAUCAUCAACCAUGCUUUCCCCCAAAACUGUUUGAUUUCCAGAUCAAGCAAGCACAUUAUAUAAAAAGCAGGUUAUGCAUCCUAUGCAAUAGCACGUAAAGUUUGACAGUUGGAAGCAUUUUAACUUGAAACGGGAUAAUUUUGUAAAAGCAUAACUGCAAUGGAUCAUAUAUAACAUGUACUAUAUUGAAUGCAAUAAAAUUGUCACAACUCAUGCACCUCAACUCCGCAGGCAUGCGAAAGACAGUGUCAGUAGAUCAUCAGAAACCUUCACACUAGUUCUUGGUAACUGACAUCACAAUUAAUGAUGCAGACGUUCAACAACUAACUUGUUGGGACUUUGAUCCAAAACUCUAUUUUGGGACAGGUAAACAGUGGUGCAAAUCCAGUACAUACAUGAUUAGCAACAAAAUUAUUAAAAUAAAAUCUCUAUUUCAAAUUAGGAUUAUAACUUCCACUGGGUAGGAACAUCAAACUAUACAGCAUAUCUGCUAACUAGAGCUACUAAGCAUUCGCCCCAUAACCUCAACUAGAAAUGUGCUUGUUUCAGCGAUUCGACAACCACGACAUUGCCAUUUCAGCUACUCACUAAUUCUAUGUCCGGAACAUUUAUUACACCAUAGUUGCAAUUACAAACUAGAUUGACUAGCAUCCACGAAAUCACAUAAUCAGUUACAAUUAUUUUUGCAAGGAUAACUUGAUCUCCGAGUCUAAAUCCACACGCGCACACAUUAUCCAAGAGAUCACAUGCUAGUGCAGCAGCACAAAGAAAUCACAAAUUAAGCUACAAAUCGGGAUAAAUUCAUCUACAUACUAAGUAGAUCAGAUCAUAGGGUUUCUCAUCGUUUCUCAAUCUCCUUAAUCCGAUCUAAUUUCUCCCCGAACCCCACCCCCCCUUCACCCAAAACACGCACACACCGAGAUCCAAAUACACAUCCAAAUGCUCCAAAACCAAAGACGAAGAAGAAGAAGAAGAAGGAGAAGAAGAGGAAAGGGACCUGAGUUGCCGCAACCGACGAGGAGGAGGCGGUGGGAGCGGCGGAGGUAGAGGUCGAAGAGAGGGGAGAGGGGCGCAUACUUUUGGUACCAGUCGAAGGGGCCCCCGUCCUUGCGGUAGCGAUCGUCCCAGUAUGCGGUCUCCCCGUAUGAGUGCGUCCCUAAGCUCGACGACGACGACGACGACGACGACGAUCCCCCGAGCGUCAUUGCUCGCUCUCUCCGCCCCUUCGCCACAAAAAGGUCUAAAAUGUAACAAUUACACCACCUCAUCUAACUUACUAAAUAAUUAAAUUACUUUUACGGAGUUCAUCCACCCCAUCAUUAUUAAUCUCGAUAAAAAAAUAUUUUUUUUAUUAUAUUUUUUUCGAAAGGAGUUUUAGAAAUUGAUCCGGAGCAGCUGCAACACAAAAAUCACCUCCCUCCACUCCGCCGUUAUUCUACGGUUCCAGUUGCGCACGCAUCGGGAGGUGGAGUUUUAUUUCGUGGACCCGGUCCAUUGGACCGGGACGGAGAGCGUUUCGUUCUGAUUGGUCCCCGUUCGCGGAGAACUUCUGGUGGGCUGGGAGAGUGGGCCCGUUACAAUGUGAGUCCAUGUACGGCCCAUGAACCUUGUUUUCGAAAGGCCCGUGUGAAAGAUUUUUUUUUUUUCUUUUUUCCGUUAUAUGGACAAAAAUUAUUAAUUAAUACUUUUUUUUCACCAUAUUUUUAUAUUUAAAUAAAUAAAAUAAUUUUGAUUUUGUAUUCUGCAUUGUACCCAAAAAAAAAAAAAAGCUUAAUUAUUACUCUCCUCAGGCCCACAUAGAUUUUGGGCCGGAUUUAUCUAAAUGAGCUCUCACUGGUUUCUGGGCCUUAUCGGAAAAAGGGCGGGUCCAAUAAUCAACUUUCAUUACAUCCGCCGUUGGCUCAUCCUCAUCAACCUAUCUCGACCGUCCAUAUACUCCUACGAAUCCCUUCGCACCUUUAUUUAUUCACCUUGUUAGUAUUUACACACGCCACCUUUUUCGGCUUUUCCUCCUCGCUCCUUUGGUUUUUUUUUUUUUUUUAAAAAAGGAAAAAAAAGGAGAAAAAAAAUCCCACUGUGAAAGGGUUUUAGAGCUCUCUUCAAUCCAUCUUUUAUUUUAAUGGAGGAGAUUAAUGCGUUGGGUUUUCCCAAUGAGAACAAUAUUAGAGUGCCACAAAACCGGCUUCGGAGGUAAAUAAUUAAUUAAACCCUUUUUAAAAAAUUUGGCUUCUUACCAUUUAUAAAUAAAUAAAGUGUCUCUUCCCUUUGCUUCAGUUCACUGGUAAGCUUAAUUUGCUUACUUUAUUAUUGUGAAAUGUGUUGGGUUUUUAUUCCUAUUGGUACCCUUUGUAGCACUUUCUUUAUUUUGUGAUUUAAUAAUCUUUUGUCCCUGGAUUUUGUAUUAUUUUGCAUUUUAUUGUCGUUUUAUUUGAAUGGAUAUUUAUAGUACAUUUAUAUUUUACAUUCAACAACCGUAGAACUUUCGUUUUAUUACAAACCCUAAUAGUUGAGAUUUAGCCAUAUUCAACAUUUGUUUGACUAAACUCAUAUUAUUUCUUUUUGUGAAAACCAAAGUUCUACGGUUGUUGAAUGUAAAAUAUAAAUGUACCCUUAUGUAAUAACUUAAAUUUUUAAAUAACAAUAUAUAUUCAACAUUUGUUUGACUAAACUCAUAUUAUUUCUUUUUGUGAAAACCAAAGUUCUCCGGUUGUUGAAUGUAAAAUAUAAAUGUACCCUUAUGUAAUAACUUAAAUUUUUAAAUAACAAUAUUUAUUUUAUAUUAUUUUAUAUAGUAUCAGUAUACGAAGUUUUAAAUUCAAAUUCUAUUAAAAUUUCAAUUUUACACAAAAAAAAAAAACUUGAGGAAAAUUGUUGAAACUUUUUCAGUAGCUAGUAUCUGUCAACUAAAAUUCACAAUUUUUUUUAGCUGAAAAGCAGUUGGUAACCUGAAAUCGGAAUCAAAUGAAACCUCUAAUUUAAAAUACAAAUUAAAUAAAAGCUAAAAUGGUGUAAACACAAAUAUUUAGCCUUGGAGAAAAACAUUAUAGAGAGGGUCCUACACCUAUGCGGUGGCAUGUGGGGGCUAAACGUUGGUCAUGCCCUCUAAUACUUCUUUUCCAAAAAUUAAUUAAUUAGGUGUCUAUGUCAAAAUUGCAAUAUGCUGUUAAACCGAUUCCCUGAUGCUCUUUCAAACUUCUCAUGCUGCAGGAUGAUGAUCAAUGGCAACGAAAGACUAAACACGAAAGCUGCAUUCGCGUCCUUCAGCCGCGCGCUCGCCAACGCGCUCUUUGGCCUGUGGACGACGGACCUGGUGAAGCCCCGCGAGCUCCGCCGAGCGACUGCCACAGUGCUGAUCCUCGGGGUGGCUCUGUCGGCUGCAGGCACUGCAAUUUCGCUAUCCCUUCUUUUCAUUCGUGGUAGAAGAGGGCGGCUGAUGUGCCGGCAAUUUCGGUGGCUCAGCGGCUUCGCCACCAUGGUGUUGUAUGCCACGUUAGUCAUCCGUGGUUUCAUUUUGGUUCUUGCUGCGCUAUCUCUUCGUUAACUGAUUAUUAACCCCUGCAUACAUACAUGUUUGCUAGAAGUGGCCACUAUGGGAUUGAUGUUGCUUGUUGAGAAUUUCUUUUGUUUUUUGGGGUCAAAUAUUGCUGUUAGGAUGUUUCUCUUCAUGUUUUAAGGCUUAAGUUGCUACUUCUUGUGUAUGUACGUGCUUUGCUAGUUGUUAAAUUUGAAGUUUUUUUUUUAAUUUUUGGCCAAAAUCACUUCGAUCUUAUUUUCAUCUUCUCAAACCAGUGAUUAGAUCUAAAUUCUAUACUCUACAACGGCCAAACUAUGUACUAGAAUCUGAAUAGUAAAGUAUGGAGUAGAAAUGGACAUAUUUUGAAUAUUUUGAAUUUGAGUUCGAGUUGCGAAACGCCCGGAUAAAAGUAUAUGGGUGAAAGUAAAUUCCCAAAAUUCAAUUUAAUUCAAAAAAUAAUAAAAAAAUUAGGUAACACGGCUAAAUAUUAACGGUUAUGGUUAUAUUUGCAGCCAUAUAUGGAGUGGUUAAUGGGCCUAUUGGACCGGGCCAUGGUUUGGGCCUUUGGGCCCAUUUUACUCUCUGGGCUCGGUGGUGCGUGGUGGUUUCAUCGCCGAAUUCGGGAUGUAACCGGCAAAGCGGCUUUUAGAAUCGCCGACUUUAUUUUGUAACGAAAAUUUUUGCUGGUUCACCAAGCGCUAGCUCUGUUACUUUAAUCUUACCUUCUAAGCUUUGUGAGAAGAACAUCUAAAAGUAUGAACCCACCUCUCAAAAGCUUCAUUUGUUUACAUAGACAUUGAUAUAGGUUUGUGCACAUCGAUCAAAUUAGUGAAGCGGUAUGUGUCCAUUGUUUAGUCAUUAUUUGUUGUUUGCUUUGGAACUCUUUUAGGACUACUUUAUAAUUGAGCUGCUAUAUGCCUCAUUUUUCAUGUGUAAUUAAAGGUUUACUUACUAACCAUCAUUUGUGUUAACCACCUAACAACAAUCACUAAAGAAAAAAACUUUUGUUAGAUAUAUAUCGGAAAGUACAUUGUUCAGUAAAGUUUGGGGUUGCCGCAAAGCAAGAGACAAAAAAUGAUUACGUAUCUAAACUUACUAUACUAAACUUAGGAACUGCAUUUGGCUUAGAUAAAGAAAUAGGCACUAAAUAAUUAUAUUAGUCCAUCUUCUUUGAGGUGUUUUCGAUCUAAAACGUUCUCAGAUUAUCCUACCCAAAGUAAAUUAUAUGGAUCAUUUCAUCUCCCACUGUGCUGUGAGAUGCGCGUCACUAAACAUUCGAAAAGCUAUAGAGAAGCAUAAACCGCUUAUUUAUAACUUGAGAUUUUAUAUAGCAAGACGAGGGGGAGAGAAGCUAAAUGAAACAAAAGCUAUAUAUAAUAAUUAUCAGAAAUAUAGCUUUUGAAGGAAAUUUUCAAAAUGAGACCAUGCCUUGGGCAUGGCCCAACCUCCACAAGGGUUGAUUAACAGCAAAACCAUAUGUUAAAACUGCAUGAGACCAUCCCAAGAUUCUCUUUUGAGCUUUUUUUUUUUUUUACCCCCAAAAAAAAACUGUAUACUCUUUAAUUUGCAAGAGAUAACCCUUGCAUGUAUUAGAAUUAAUCAUUUCCGUGGAGAUUUUAAUGACAUUUUUUUAAGUUAUAGUACAAAAGUUAACAAAAUCUAGACACACUGUAUGAAAUACUUAAAUGGGAGGGGUUUAUUACUCACUACUCUUUGGUACAUUGUUCCAUGACUUGGCUAGUCUCGUAUCUACUAAUUAGAGAGUCUAGCUAUGGUAAAGUUCUUUGUACUACAAAGUAUAAGUAUAUGGUAAAAACCUAAGGUAAAAGGUAAAAAUUAUCCUGAUUGUAAUAUAAAAUAAUUUUCUUAAGGUUCUUGGCAAGUAAACUUCCUCCCUUUAGCUAGGCUUUGAGACACUAGAGAUACAUUUAUUAAUUAUGUAUAAACUGAUACCUUAUCUCUUAGCAUAUUAGUAUCUAUCUUUUGCUAUUUGCAACUUAAUGCAUUCUUUAUCAAUUAAUCUGGUUAAUUUACUCAAAACUUGAAAAGGUUUUAACAUGCAUACAGCUCAAUUAUAUAAAAGAUGCAACCCCAUUAGUAAUCAUUUCACCAAUUUCACAAAAUAUUCCCUGCUACAACCAAAGUCCAUUUGCUUUAUUUAAUUUCUUCUUGUAAUCAUUAAAGAAGUACAAAACAUAUUUUGAUGGAAUAUUGUCUAAAAGGCUCACAUAUAUAGGGGAUUACUUAACUUUACCCUACACCUACUAGAAGAAUACAUUUUCAAAAGGCCUCUAUAUGGGCUGUCCUUUUAAAAAUAGGCAUAGACCAUGAAAACCAUUUUGUAGCAUGCAAUGCAUGAAAUAUUGUUUGAGAUUCGCAUAGAGUGCUAUCCAACAGUUGGACAGGUACACUAUCCUACAAUAUAACAUAUCUUGUUAACUGUUCAUGGUUAAGUGUUAAUUAUUUACCCAAACUUAAUCACUGAAUAAGCUCAAAUUCUGAUAUUUUUCAGAUAAAUAAUAAAUUUAAUUAAGUAGCUCAGCACAAGAGAUUAGGAUUAGUUGUACUCAAUUGAUCAGGACUGAGGUAUGAAACUUUUCCUUAUAAACAAGGGUAGGAGAAGAAGGCCAAGUCUUUUGCUCUUUCCUGCUACGUACUGCUAACCAUAAAAUGUUAUUAUAAUAUCACCAUGCAGUAUCAGAACUACGGAAGAUUAUGCUUCCUAUGAGGAGAUGGUACUGGGACUACAUGGGCCCCAUCACAAGGGAAUCUCAGUAACAACCUCUCCUCUCUCUCUCUCUCUCUCUCUCUCUCUCUCUCUCUCUCUCUCUCUCCAGGCAGGCUUGGACAGGGAAGGAGAGAGAGAGAGAGAGAGAGAGGGAGCCCCACUUCUUCUCUCUACCAAUCCCACAAGAAACCAACAGCUUUCUAUGGCUCCAAACCACCUUUUACCUCUUUUUAUAUAUAUAUAUUUCCCAACCCUCUUCUCCUCUUCUGAUCAGUUCUCCCCAUCUCUCCUCCUCUCCACUCCCUCACUCCUCUCUCCUCUCAUGAAUCUAGUCUUUUCCCAAAUGGGCUACUCCAUUUGUUUUUAAUUUGAGCUCCUCCUCUCAAGGUAUCUCUAAGGUAUCUCUUUCUCUCUCUUGCUCUAAAGGUCUAGCCUACUUGCCUUUUGUACUAGUAACUGAUAUAUUAUUUCAUUUUCUACUUGAUAUAUAGAGGCCGCAAGAGGUGUCAUUAGAAGAGAAGAGAAAAGAGAGAAGGAGGAUGUAUCAUCACCAUCCCGAGUUAUAUCCACCCCAUGAGCACAUCCCCAUGGAAGGAUCAUCGUCAGAAUUCAUUGGCCCUUCUCACACCGCCACGAUGAAUUUCUCCGACUUGGCGCUCAUGGGGAGUGGCCAAAACAGCAGCAGCAACAGCAGCAACGGCACCUCCGCCGCUGCGGCCGAACUCGACUUCCACCGCCAGUUCGGUCUCGAUGUUGUCGGGAAGCCGGAAAUGGCUCCCCAUCUCAUGCACUUCCCCGAAAACCUCUUCUUUGCCGAGAUCCCGCCGGAAACUGCUUCUGUCGGCUCGACCGUCUUGUACGACCCGUCGGUGCAGUUAGAUUUGGUUCAUCACCAGCCAUGUCAAGUGAGAGAGAUAUAUACCGCUAAUAAUAUUAACAACAACGAUGAUGUUUCAUUACCACAAGAUUAUUCUGGGUUUAUACAUGGGUCUAGUGUUAAUGGCCACUUUGUUGGUGGUGUAAUGGAGGAAGUUUAUGGGCUAGGGCAGCAGCUUGAGAGCCCACACCUUAACACAAGAAGGCAAAAAGGUGGGAUGAGGCAAAAGGGGUUAAGCUUUAAUGGGGUGGAAAAGAAGGAGAAGCAAAGGAGAGAAAGGCUUAGUGAGAAGUAUGAACUGCUCAAAUCACUCAUCCCUAACAGAACCAAGGUAUAAAUAAUUAAUUUACCCUAUUAUUCACCACAGCAAAUAUUUUAUUUAUUAAUUAAUUUGUUCAUGGCAAUACAUCUAUGAAGCAUAUAUUGAUUAGUAGUAUUUAGUGUCAAACUAUUUAUCUCCUACCUUCAACCACUUUUUCAAACCUAAAUGCCUCCUUAAUUAUUGGUUGUUAAUAAAUUGGACACUGCUUUAAGUUUCUGGUUGAGCUUAAUUGGUUUCAUUUUUAUUUGUUAUCUGUUAGCUGUUAGAAGAUGCUUAAUUUAUAGAAUUAUUUUUGUGUGUGCAGUUUCUUGGUUUUUGCAGUGUUUGUUUUACUUUUUGCUGGUACCUAGGGUUCUUGUUUACAUUGUUUUUGCACAUAUCAGCAUAAUUUUUUACAUCUUUUGGGUAGUGUACAUGCGGAGUUUUAAUUUUGACAGUGUAUUUUGGGCUAGUUACACCCACUUUGGCAUAAAAAAUAUGUUCAAAAAAUUGCAUAACUUUGGUAUUAAUUGCUAGUACAUGAGUACAUCUGUACAUGUGAGUUUGUCUAUAUGUUUCUUCGCGCGGAAAAGGAUGAUCGAGCGACGAUCAUCUCCGACACGAUGGACUACAUCAGAGAAUUAGGUCGGACGGUGAACGAGCUCAAGCUACUGGUCGAGAAGAAGAGGCGCAAAAAGGAGAGGGGAAAGGAGGUCUUAAUUGGAGAGGAGUUAGUAGGUGACAUGGAGAGCUCUUCAGUGAAGCCUUUUAUAGAUGAGGGAGAACAUCAUGCAUCCAACGGGUCUCUAAGGAGUUCAUGGCUCCAACGGAAGUCGAAAGAGACCUUCGUCGACGUUCGGAUCGUAGAGGAUGAAGUGACUAUCAAGAUCACCCAAAGGAAGAGGAUGAUCAGUUGCUUGCUAACCGCUUCGAGAAUUCUCGACGAGCUUCAGCUCGAGCUUCUGCACUUGUCUGGGGGAAUCAUAGGAGACUGCCACAUUUACAUGUUCAACACUAAGGUCAGUGUACCGUAUAUCAUCUUUCUCAAUUAUCAUAAUUUUUAUUUUUUUUUAAUUUAUUUUGGUUUAAUUAAUGGAGAGUGCUUUAAAUUGACGUUGUUAUAAACAGAUCCCCGAAGGAUCUUCAGUGUAUGCAAGUGCAGUUGCAAAGAAGCUGAUUGAAGUCAUGGAUGUGCAAUUUCCACCUCAGACCUGUUAAGUUUUUAUUACAUAGUUAGGGUAAAUAGAGUUUUAAGCAUUGUAGUUCGAUCAAUUAAUGAUAGGUUUGUGUGUUUGUUAUACAUCUAGUGUUUGGAUUUAACUUUAAUUGAACCUUUAUAUAAAAGGUUGGGUGAAGGGCGUAGGGAUAAUUAAGUUGGAAAAAGUACAGUGGAUAGAAUUGUGGCAGGUAGGACUUAGAACAUCUUUUCAGAAGUUGUCUUCUCUGUUAUCUUGCAAAUGCAGGGUACUCAUAGUACAAUAUUUUUCUUUAAGAUCCCUAUAAUUAAGUUUGUUACAUUUUACAGCAUUUUUCCUCUCUUUUUUUUUUUUCUUUUUUUUACUUUGUGUCUGUGUGAUGGGGCUUUGUUAAUGGACUUGUUUUUUAAUCUUGUAGUUUUUAUUUUCUUAAUAUUUUUGGAUAUGGGCCACAAGCAAGGAACAUGCAUAAACGCUUUAUCAGUUUGGGCUACGAUGCCAAUCGGUCGGCCCACGACCUGAAUUUAUGGGAAACUAGGCGGGCACUGCAACAUAGUUUGCAAUCUGAGGCCCGCUUGAACAUAUUUUAAAUAAACGGCCCAUUUGAUAAGAAAUCCAUCUUGCGUUAUUAGCCCAAAAUAUAUACUCCCCAGAUAAGACUAUAAAAUUUAUAUCCUAAUUGAUAUAUUUCAAUCUAUAUAAUAUAUUAUCGUAAAUAACAAUAAAAUAUUUUCACAUCACACUCGCAAUUUCCAACGGAAGCUAGAUAGACUCCCUUUUCAGUUUUGGAACUUCCUCCAUCUAAUCUAAUUCAUUCAUUUAUACGAUAUAUAAUUCAUGUAAUUAAGGUUGUUGAGAUAUGCCAACAAAUAUAGUAUCUGAUAAAAUUUUAGAGCUCUAGGGAACUUCCUCAAUCAAAUUCAUUCAUUUAUACGAUAUCUAAUUAAAGCUGUUUUUUUUAGAGAGAUAGAUAGCACGCUAUCCGUUUCGAUUAUUUUGAUAUAUACUAACAAAUAUAGUAUUGGAUAAAACUUUAGAGCUUUUUAAGAUAAGUUUAUAAAAGAGUAGUGUACUUUUCUCUUAAAAAAUAAUAAAUAAAUUAAACCACCCACCGUAUAUAAAUAGACCCAUCGUAAAACAUUUCUCCAUGCAGCGUCUCGUAGCUUGAAGUACUCUUCUUCUCCUCUUUCCUAAUCCAAAGGCAAUGGCCAAACCAUUCUUCCUCCCGCUUCUCCUCUUUUUCUCCUUGCGAUCCAUCCCCCCUGCCGCUGCCCCCUCCCCCUCGUCGACACUCAUCCCUCCAGCUGCCGCCCCCUCUCCUUCGAAUGCCAUCCCCCCAGCCACCGCUCCCUCUCCCUCGACUGUCAUCCCCCCAGCGCGCGACCCUCCCCUCCUUGACUGCCAUCCCCCACGCCGCCGCAUCUCCCUCUCCCUGACAUAUACCCCUGCCACAGCCCCCCCCCUCCCCUCAUCGACAGUAUCCCCCCAGCCCCGCUCCUCCCCCUCGAGCUGCCAUCCCCUGCCGCUGCCCUCCCCCUCGACGUGCCCCGAACCCGUGCUCGGACCCAUCCACCCUGAGGCUGGAACGACUCGUCGUGUGCGAUCCAGAGCGCUUCACGAUCAUGGGUCGCCGUGACGACUUCGUCUACUGUGUGCAACAGCAACCGUACGACGUGAGGGUUGGCGGACCUUGUCAGGCGCAUGACGCUCCCGAGAAGUGGCGCAGAUGGGCGACGCGAGCGAUCGGGUGCGCGCGGCUAGAGGCUCCCCAGUAUAACUGGUGGUCCAAGGCCCUGCACGGCGUGUCCAAAGUCGGAGAUGGCGCCACGUGGUUCGGGGGCGUUGUGCCCGGAGCAACUAGCUUCCCGAUGGUCAUAUCUUCGGCGGCAUCGUUCAACGAGACUCUGUGGAACACAAUCAGAAAGGUAACGCACAUAUAUAUAUAUAUAUAUAUAUAUAUAAUUUGAAUGCAUGAUGUUAACUCUUUGGAUUGAGAACGGAUACUUACCUGCAUAUGAAUCUCUCCUGGAAUUAAUGUAGGUGGUCUCUACAGAAGCUAGGGCCAUGUACAACCUGGGCCACUCAGGGCUGACGUUUUUGGAGGCCGAACAUCAACGUGGCCCGCGACCCGCGAUGGGGAAGGAUCCUCGAGACACCAGGAGAAGAUCCAUUCCUGGUCGGCCGCUACGCCGCCAACUUCGUCAGGGGGUUACAAGAUGUGGACGGGCAGGAAACUGCAGCAGAUCUCGACUCGAGGCCUCUUAAGGUCUCUGCCUGUUGCAAGCACUACACCACGUACGAUCUCGAUAACUGGAAGGGCGUCGAUCGCUACCACUUUGAUGCGAGGGUACGUAAUGAUAAUAGUUUCAUGGAAAAGAUGAACUGCAUGCAUUUGUACUGCGUCUUGUUAAUUGAUUACUUGUUCAACUACUAAUAAUCAACAAAACAUACGUGCAUCUUAAAUAACCAUGCCAAAUGCGCUCUAAAAUUUCCAUUCAGUGUAGAAUUACUACUGAAACACAGUAUACAUGUAAUCUUGCAAGUUGGUUUGAAAUGCUUUUACUUGCAAAUUACUUCUAGGAGACAUCGGAAAAUUCAUUAGUGCUGUUUGAUCCUUCCUAGCAGAUUCUUCAGAAAAGAUACCAAAUUAAGAUACCAACAGGAAAAGUUUUACAGUGUACUAAUACAAAUGAAGCUAAAAAGAGAUAAUCCACUUUCGCUUUCAAAGACAUACAUUUCAACUACAACUGACAGAGUCGAUAGCAAGCAAUACUAUCUAUCUUACGAUGAUGCAAAUGCUUCUCUGAAUUGCUUGAUAGGUCGCUGCACAAGACAUGGAAGAAACAUUCCAGCGACCUUUCAAGAUGUGCGUGAAGGAUGGCGAUGUGAGCAGCGUCAUGUGCUCCUACAACCGCCUCAAUGGCAUUCCUACAUGCGCCGAUCCCUGACUCCUCUAUCAAACAGUCCGACAGGAAUCGCAACUCCACGGGUAACUGAAUCAAUUUGUAUUUAAAUUGCCAUUUAGCAAAAAGCUCACUCUAAUUAAAUGCAACAUUCAAUUCCAAUAGGUACUAACAAAAAAAAAAAAAAAAAAUCCUACUUUUUACAUCUCAGAUAUAUUGUCUCUGACUGCGACUCGAUUGAGGUCAUUCGCGAGGACCACAAAUGGCUGAAUGACUCACCAGAAGAUGCAGUUGCACAAGUCCUUAGAGCUGGUAAUUAAGUAGUGCUUAAUUAUUUGUUAUCCAUCCUUUUUGCUUUAAGUGUCUGUUCGCUUGGCUUCUAAAUAGUUUUUCUGUCUCGGGGAGAAGUAAUUAGGUGUUUGCUAAACAAAAAUUUAGCGCUUUUGCUGGUGGCGGAAAGCUGCAAUGAGCUUGUAGGACUCAAGAAUACAUUCUCCAAUUUAUGCUCUAGCAACAAACUACUAUGUGAAUUUUAUCGCAGAAAAUAUUAAAUUUGUUUAAAUAGUACUUCUCCAAAACCUACAUUUUGUGUAAAAAUGCCCUGACUUGCAAAAGCAGGAGUAAGGCCAACUGGACCCUAACUACUAAGUCAUACAUAUGUAAGAUAGCUUGCUGAUCAGUUGCUUUUAUAUUAAGUUGUGAGAGUCUAUUGUUGGCAAAUGCAAAUAAACCAGGACUGGAUUUGGACUGCGGCGUCUAUUACCCCCAGUACGGCUUAUCGGCGGUGGGGCAAGGAAAAGUGAGAGAGGCUGAUAUCGACAACGCUUUAAGAAAUCUGUAUAAGGUUCUAAUGAGGCUAGGAUUCUUCGACAGGAUCCCGGCUUACCAAUCACUUGGCAAGGAGAACAUCUGCACCAACAGUCAUAUCGAGUUAGCUACCGACGCUGCAAGACAGGGCAUUGUUCUUCUCAAUAACGAUUUCUCUACGUUGCCGCUUAACACCCAGAAGAUCAAAAGUAUUGCACUCGUCGGCCCUCACAUUAACGUCACGACUACAAUGAUCGGAAACUAUGAAGGUUAAGAUCACAAUUUUAUCUGCAGUUGGUUUCCUUGAGCUAUAUCUAUAUAGGUUGAUGUGGAAGCAACUCUUUUGCAGGCAUUCCUUGUCGAUACACCUCGCCUUUGGAUGGCUUCUCCAGAGAAGUAUCAGUGAACCAUCAGCAGGGCUGCGACGUACACUGCAACGACGUCAGCAACUUCUCGUCCGCCAUCGAUGCGGCCAAGAAGUCCAACGCUACUGUCAUCUUGGCAGGUAUAGAUUUGAGCGUGGAGAGCGAGGGCCACGACCGAGACGAUUUGAUGCUCCCGGGUCACCAGGUGGAUUUCAUCACCCGAGUGGCUCAAGCUUCCAAAGGCCCUGUUGUGCCGGUGAUCUUGUCCGGCGGGCCCGUGGGUAUCUUAUUCGCGAAGAACAAUUCGAAGAUCCACACAAUUCUCUGGGCCGGUUACCCUGGAGAGGAAGGCGGCCGUGCCAUCGCCAACGUCGUGUUUGGCCGCUACAACCCCAGUAACUGAUUCGAUCCGAUAAAUUCAUUACAUUCACACAUUUUUCUGAUCUGAACUGAAACUUUAUAGGUGGAAGGCUUGCCCAUGACAUGGUACACAUCCUCCUACGUCGACGAACUUCCGAUGACAUCGAUGCAGCUACGCCCGAACGAAGAUCUGAAGUAUCCCGGCAGGACCUACAAAUUCUACAACGGCACCACCAUCUAUCCCUUCGGAUACGGGCUGAGCUACACCCAAUUCACCUACACACUCGUUUCUGCGACGAGAUCCUUCGAUAUCGAGCUCGAGCAUUCUGAGUACUGCCAGCCGCUGACCUACCAGCCCGACGCCUACCAGCCGCCCUGCCCGUCCAUCAUAGUCAACGAUACGAGAUGCCAAGAUCAGAUUGAGUUCCAGCUCAAGGUAGAGAACGCCAGAGCGGUCGACGGGACGGAUACGAUACUCGUGUUUUCGAAGCCUCCGGCGGAAGUUGUGGGAGCCCCGAUAAAGCAGCUGGUGGCCUUCCAGAAGGUGUUCGUGCCGGCCGGCGCGUCUCAGACGGUGAACAUUGCUGUCAACGCGUGCAAGGCUCUGGAAUUGGUUGAGCAGACGGCGUAUCACGUGCUGCCGUCCGGACAGCACGAGAUCGUGAUCGGAGACGACGAGGCGGUCAGUUUUCCAGUUCAGAUGAACAUUCACUAUUAGCUUGAGUGAGAACCAUAUAUAUACAUAAGUUUAGUUUAGCUAUAUAUAGGUCUAACCGACCGUCCUAGGGCAAGUGGCAAAGGGCUUGGUGGUUGGUAGCCGAGACCCAAGUUCGAAUCCUAGUUGAUUCACAUUUCCAGCUAAGUUUAUUUCUAAAUGAAAUAAACGAAGCGGAUAACGUGCUAUCUAUCUCUAAAAAAAAAAAAACUAUAUAUAAGUCUAUAGAUUGUUUUAGUUAGAUUCUUUUGUUUACGAACUAUAGGAAAGUUUGGAAAUAGGUGUCUAUUUUAUAGGCUUAAUUCUCCGCUGUAACAAUGCUUUUUUUUUUCUUUUUUUUUUAAAAAAAAAAGAUAGCACGCUGUCCGCUUCAUUCAUUUCGAAACACUGUAACAAUGCUUCAAUAUGAAUAAAAGCGGUGGACAAUAAAAUUCUAAUCCAAUGUGUGAUCCCGAAAUUUUGCUUAAUUCUGAACCAUCAUUUUUCUCGCUUAUCUAAUAUCAUACUUGAAGCUAAUUAAAGAGAGUGGAACGUACAGUACACUGGGGCGACUUGAUUUUGGGCUCGACUCUUGAGCUCGCAACCCCACAGGUCAUUCUGAAAUAGCCACCUCAUUUAAAUUUUUUGAAUAAAUCGAUUUAAGCCCAUUUAAUUUAUAUUUUCUAAAAUUUGAUGUCGUAUCCAUCAACUCUUAAUACCUUUAAUUAUGUUUUAGUAAUAAUACUGCAUCAUUUAACAAGUAAUAGAUAAUAAAGUUGUUGAACUUAAUAAAAACUUCAGCAUACAUACAUAUAAGCACUAUUUUUUUUUUUUAAUAAAAAAGUCAAGGAUUUCUCAAUCAAAUGAAAUUUGUUAAUAAGUCUAUGUUAUAUAUAAAGUUGAGAGUGUUUUUCCCUUAUUAGUUGGAAUAUGUACACGAGAAGCAAAGAGCACGAGUUUUAUAUUGGCCAUGCCCCAACCGAAUUAUUCAAAAAAAAAGUCCUUCAAAGCAAAGAACAAGAAAAAACGUAGACGUAGUGCCACUCAAGUGCAGAGAAAAUACAGCUAUUGCUUUCAAUCCAAACAGCCGCUCCGCCACGCAUCCAAGUUGCGUGAUUAUAUCGCCUCCAAUAGAAAAAUGUGACACGAAGAACAACAUUAGAAAAAUGUGACACGAAGAACAACAUUAAAUUAUAUUGUGCCGUAGUUUUCUUUACAUAUAUCGUCAAAUAUAAUUGAUGAAUCAGUUUUUAUAAUAUAGCAACUAGCUGAUGGUUUAAUUAUGAUUCACUUAAAAUGGCAAGUUAACAUUCUGGCUUAAAGAUUCAAUUUUUAAAUAUGAUGUCAACUCCAGUUUGUUAAUUCUGAAAUUGCACCAGUUGUUAAAAGUUAUGUAAUUUAAAUUUUUUAAGACCUUCAAAGAUCAUCACGGGCAUAUUUACUCUUGCAAAAUAAAAAUAUAAACCCACCUAACAUCAAUAAUUUAUGAAAGUUUAUCCCAAAAUGUCACUUAAUUGAAAUUGAAGGGAUAAUAGUACCUGAUGUUGUUUUUUUUUUUUGCUUUGUUUUGGAUAGAAAGAUGACGAGUUAUCCACCUCGCUCAUUUUUUUUCGAAAUAAAUAUAAUUAUAAAUUGUAAACAAACUAGACAUUAAAUCUUGAAUCGCAAUUAUUAAUUAUCAUCAAAAUUUUCAGUAAAGGUGCCUACAUCAAAAUUUUCAGUAAAGGUGCCUACAACUGGUAGGAGCAGGUGGUGGUGUUUUGACUAUGCUCAUAGAAUUCAAAUGUGUAAGGUACACUUGUGGUAUGCUUUGGAAUUCAUCAACCAAAAAACAUCACAAACCAAUAAUUGUAGUCCACGUCGACAAGAAAUUUCGCACAUUAAUGAGUCACGAGCAUAAAAUAAUAAUAAUAAUAAUAAUAAAAUAAGGAUAAAGGAGUGUACCAAAUGCUGCGGUGGGACGUGGGGGGCCCAUCGCGGUUCGCGGGCGACCGUAUCCAACUCGAGUAGAACAACCAAAAUUCUAUAUAGCGAUCACCCCAUAGAAGACAUUAUAAGGACGGGUUAUACAUUUCUAUGUAGUGCAUCUAAGUAAUUAUAGAAAAAAUAUGUUUGAUUUUUUCUUUUUUUAAAACUUCGAUCAAUUAUACAUAACCAUUUGAUACUAGAUUGCUAAAUUAUAAAAACACCCCCUAUACUUUAGAAUAAUAAUAAUAAUAAUAAUAUUAUUAUUAUUAUUAUUCUUGGAGGGACCUAACUUUUCCGCAUAAUAGUUUCUAUAGGGAGGCCCGUAUAGAAAUACGGCUCUGGGGUGUAAAGCAAGCGAGAUGCCAUGUGCGGUGCGGGUCGCUAUCCGGCACCGAACCCCGACGAUUCUCGACCGCACGAUCCCUGCACGAUCCAACGACGGUCCAGAUCUAUCGCAAAGCGGAUUUGCGUCUCACGCGGGGGCACGUGCCAUCUCUUAUAAAUACGUGCUCCCACACUUGGGAGGAGUCUGCGAGAGAGGAGGUGUUGCUUUGAUCGUUCGCCGACCCGACGCCGCAGCGAGGAAACUAGGGUUUCGAUCCCAAUCCCCUUCUUUCUCCGUUGUGAGUUCUUCUUCGAUCUCUCCAUCUAGUCGUAACUCGCUUCUGGUUAUGUGUAGAAUGAUGAUGAAUGAUGUUCUUUGAAUCGUUGGUGUGUUAUCCUUUUCUCUCGACAUUCGAAAUGGUUUGAUCUGAGGUUUCCUUGGAUUUUAUGUGACAUUUUGUUGAUUGGAUUGGUAUUGAGUUUCAGUUAUUGAACCAGGAUUACCGAGGUCGGAUCUCUGUUACUCCUGGCUAGAUUUGAGCUUUGUUUCGUUUAUUUUUUCGUUUAAUAUCUGGUUUUCAUUAUCCAAUCUCGUUAUUUAUCUGUUUGAAAUGAUAUAAUCUGUUUGUAUUCUGGCAUAAUCGACGAUUUCCAGUGUUAAAAGGCUAGAUUUGGUUUAGGUUUGCUUCAUUCUACUUCUCUCUUUCUUGUUAGUGUGUACUUAAUUGCCGUAUCUGCUUAGCGGAGCACCUAUUUAUGUUCGUACUUGAAGGAGCAUAUCUCGAGCUCUAUCCUUUCGUAUCUUAUUGGAUCGUUUUAAUUUUUGCCUUUAAUUUGCAUCGAUUGGAAAAAUGAAUGAAAGACAUGUUGGAAGAACCUUUUCUUCAUGGACUAGGCAUAGAUUUGGCUCGGUAUUUUGAUAUGAUUAGGUUGUUGCUUUAUGAUUUGGAUCUGAUUCGGAUAUUUCCUGCAUGAUUUCCCAACACUAAUUUAGGUUAUCUGUUCCUUUUAAUUCUCUAGAAGCAGCUUGUGUCUCUGUGAAUAAUCAAAAUUGAAGUUAGUUUAGAUGGCUUAUUCGAUGAUAUUCUGAUUCCUGAGAUGGUAUAUUCUUUUGUGAUUCCAUGUGUCAUCUAAUUGUUAUUUAUUCUCCACCUUUUCACUUUUGGAAACCUUGCUAAUUAUUCCUCUCUCUCUCUCCCCUCCCUCUUCCUUAAUUCCUUAUAUUCUGGGUUUGUUUUUGAUAGAUAGGAAUAUGAAUUCAUGGAAUGUUGGGGCGACCACUUUCAUGGACAAAGUGACAUAGAUGCAGAUUAGUGGCUUAGUGGUCUUUACUAGAAUAUUUGAAUCUGAUUCUGUUGUUGCUUUAGAAUUUUCCUGUUUAAUUUCCCGAUACUUCCUAGCUUAUUUGCCCUUCUCUAGUAGUUACUUGUCCUCCUGUGAAUAUUCUUCAACUUAAAAGUGCUUUCAGUGCCUUGGUCUAUGAGAUUCUGAUUCUUGAAGUGGUACAUCCUUUUGGGAUUCCUUAUGCCACCUUUAUGGGUGGUUAAUAUUACAUUGUCUCAUCUUCUUGGUGGCUGUAUUCUAUCUUAUUGCCUAGUGAACCUAGUUAAUAUACUAUUAACUUGAAUCACUUCUUACAUUAGGCAAGUGCAUGGGCCACUAGCCAUUAGCAAUUAGGUUAUUUAAACUGCAAAUUCAUGUUAUCAUCUUUAAAUUUUUGUGCCCGGGCAAUACUAGCUAAAAGCCAACUCUCUUUAAGUGACAAAGAUACAUAUGUUCAUGUGAGGUUGUUGAUCCUUGUAAGUUGUGUCCAUCUUUAACUGACUUUCCUUUGUUCAGGGUUUGAGAAGAUGGCUGAUGUGGACACCUUCCUCUUCACCUCUGAGUCAGUGAACGAGGGCCACCCUGACAAGCUGUGCGAUCAAAUCUCUGAUGCCGUGCUCGAUGCCUGCUUGGCAGAGGACCCGGACAGCAAGGUUGCAUGUGAGACCUGCACAAAGACCAACAUGGUCAUGGUCUUUGGUGAAAUCACCACCAAAGCCAACGUCGACUAUGAGAAAAUCGUGCGUGACACCUGCCGCGUGAUUGGCUUCAUUUCUGAUGAUGUGGGCCUUGAUGCUGACCGCUGCAAGGUCCUCGUCAACAUCGAGCAGCAGUCCCCUGAAAUUGCACAGGUUGUGCAUGGCCACUUCACCAAGCGCCCUGAGGAGAUCGGAGCCGGUGACCAGGGCCACAUGUUCGGUUAUGCUACUGAUGAGACCCCUGAAUUGAUGCCGCUUAGUCAUGUUCUUGCCACCAAGAUUGGGGCCCGGCUCACUGAGGUCCGCAAGAAUGGGACCUGCCCCUGGCUCCGCCCCGACGGCAAGACCCAGGUGAGUUCUAUGGCUAAUUUAAACUGUGCAUAUUAUAAAAUAUGUACAAAUAGCCCUGCGAAGUUGGUAUUCAUCUGCAUAUACGUGAAAACUUUGCUCAUUUGCAUUCAUGCGUUGGAAAGUCAUAUCUGCAUUAUUGGAUUUUGCAUAAGUGGUCCCAGUAGUGGCAGAUGUGCAAAUAAGCAGCCAGUAUACUUCUUAAAGUGCUAACUUGGUAUUCAUCCCUGAGAAAGUCAUAUAUCCAUUAUUGGAUUUUGCAUAUAUGGCCCUAGUAGUGGCAGAUAUGCAAAUAAGCAGUGAUUAUACUUCUUUAAGUGCUAAGUUGGCAGGGUUAUUUGCAGAAUUUUACAUGCUUGUAGGUGUAUAUUUCCUCUUUCACCUUGCUCUGUAGAACCUAACCUAACUGUUUGGUUUCCCCUAACUUUUGAUUCUGGCUCCACCCAUGCAGGUGACAGUUGAGUACCGCAAUGAUCAUGGGGCGAUGGUCCCCAUCCGCGUGCACACUGUCCUCAUCUCCACUCAGCAUGAUGAGACUGUAACCAACGAUGAAAUCGCCCGUGACCUUAAAGAGCAUGUCAUCAAGCCGGUCAUCCCUGAGAAGUACCUUGAUGAAAAGACCAUCUUCCACCUGAACCCCUCCGGCCGCUUUGUCAUUGGCGGUCCCCAUGGUGAUGCCGGGCUCACCGGUCGGAAGAUCAUCAUUGACACCUAUGGUGGCUGGGGGGCCCACGGUGGUGGCGCAUUCUCUGGCAAGGACCCCACCAAGGUCGACAGGAGCGGUGCUUACAUUGCCCGGCAAGCAGCCAAGAGCAUUGUGGCCAAUGGGCUGGCCCGCCGUUGCAUCGUCCAGGUGUGCAACUCUCAUCUAUUUACAGUAAACUUAUACGCACCUAUAAAUAUUUCUUCUUAAUCUUCUAUGCUCUUAAAAUUGCUGUAGUCAACUAAGUAUUAUCUAUAACUGGGUUGUUCAGGUGUCAUACGCCAUUGGUGUGCCGGAGCCCCUCUCUGUGUUUGUCGACACCUACGGGACAGGCAAGAUCCCGGAUAAGGAGAUACUGAAGAUCGUGAAGGAGAACUUUGACUUCCGGCCGGGUAUGAUCAUCAUCAACCUCGACCUGAAGAGGGGUGGGAACGGGCGGUUCUUGAAGACCGCUGCCUACGGGCACUUUGGACGGGAUGACCCCGACUUCACCUGGGAGGUGGUGAAGCCCCUCAAGUGGGACAAGCCUUCGACAGCAUAGAAGCCUCAAAAACUAGUCUUAUGGUGAUGAUGACGCGUUCUUUAUCUACAGAUAAUAAGAGCAAUAAUUGUGUGUUGUUUCUGCAUGCUGCUGUUAUCUGAACGUCCGCUCACUGUUGUUGGCAGCUCUUUUUGGUUCUUAUUGUCUCAGCUCUAUUACUCAAAGAAAAAAAAAAAGAAGAAAAUCAUAUUAAAAGUUUAGGGUGUUUAUUGGAAAAAAAAGAGAAUCUGAAUUCUUUUGAUGAACUGAAAUGGGAGAGGAAGUAGGGGGGAUUGAGGGGGUAGCUCUAUGUUAAGGCCUUGCCUUCCUAUGAUUUGAGCACUUUGUACUAAUUAACAGAUCUGAGAUAUUUAUAAUGUACAACCGAAGCAUUAAGUUGGAAGAGAUCACAUAUUCACGACAUUUAUUUGCUGCUUCUCAUAUGUUCUGUCGUCUGUUCGUUCAAUUUGGUUUUCGGCUCCUAGCGUCUUGUUUGGAUGUUCUGCUGUCUGUUCUUACAAUUUGGCUUAAGCGUCUUGUUUGGAUGCUCUGUUAUUUGUUCGUCAAAUUUGGCUUUAGCGUCUUGAUUGGAUGUUUUGUUAUCUGUUCAUCUUGUUUGGACUGCUUGGUGGUUCAUACAUUACUCUCCUUUUCUCCUGCCCUUCCAUUUCUUUUGCCACACGCACAAACCCUUUCUAAGUAGGCUAUAUUUAUGCUUAUGCUAUUCCUCUCUUCUACUUAUUCCUCAUCAUCAGCACGUUAUUUUAAUGUCUGAAUCUGCAUACCAAAUUAACUUUCUCGAUUAACCCUGUUGAGUUUCCCAUAAUAAUUGCAAUCACAAUGUUCCGCUACAAGUCUGAACAAAUAAUUACAAAAAAAAAAGGACAAAAACUUGCUGGGUAAAAACACUCAACAGAAAGUCGCAGGUAUACAUCAAAGCAGAAAGCACUAUCAGCUGUGUUAACUUAUUAGUAACAAGCUUCUUGUGUUAUUAAAUUCUCACAUAUAACCAGAACCGAGUGAUUCCCAUGUGAAAGGAGCAUCGAUAAACCUAACCACCGGUGGGCCUUUCAUUAUCAGCGCAACACAAACACACACUGCCGCAAUGCCGGUCAUUGCAAACACUACCGGCCUAUACAAUAAUGACCUUCUUGCAUAAGGGCGGUAGAACACCUGCUGCUCACAUUGCUUGCAAUAAGGCUGCUGCAUUGGUUGAAAUUUGAACUUGUCAAUUUGAAAAGCACUUUGCUUGCUGUAGUUGGAUCCAUCAGCUUUUCUAUAACUGGCAUCAGUCACGAAAGUGCUAGGGAUGCCGAGGAAUAUGUGGUUUUUUCCCAUUUGAAUGUCAAUUUUCUUCUGAACAAGCUGGAUGUAGGAUUCGUGGCCCCUACUGCGAGCAUAAUCCUCAGGAGUGAAACCAGUAAUGUCUCGGCAGUUCUUCCAUGCUUUGACUCCCAACUGGAGUGGACAAAGUAAGAGUUAAAAGCUUAGAUUCCAAAUUUGGUAUUAGGGGCGAGAAAGAGUCUAAUCUGAUCUUCUGAGUUGAAGUAAUUGUAUUACAGUAGAAAAUCUAAUACAGCAGUCAAGAAACAACGGAAAGAAAGAGCACAAGAGCCAAAUUCAAUUAUCUUUGGUAGAUAUGUGGGUUCAAGUGGGAUUCGGGAUUCACAAGAAAAAACAUGGAAACAGGAAAUGAAGAAACAGAUAAGAGAAAUAACUUUCAAAAGGAUAAUAUAACUGCUUUUGGACACUUAACAGUGGAUCCACCAGUGAGUAAUUCCCUUAUGUCUUAUUGAGGAAAAGGAUCUUGAUAGUCAACCAAGACAAAAAUUCAAGUCCUGUAACUUGUAUUGCAUGAACUUCGCCUAAAAAUAAAUUACCUGCUUUGAUAUUUGAAUAUGCUCAAUGAAAGAUCACAAAGUGCAUCACUAAGAAGAAUGAUUCCAUUCAACUGUUCAAGUAGAAUAAACCUAGAGAGGGCUGAGGAGGGCAUAUGAAAAAGUACCAACAGAAGACAUUAUAUGACAUGGUUUGAAAAGAACCUUGGUCAAAAUGAAGGCGAACGAAGAACAAAACCCCAGAAUCAACACUAGACAAUUUACACUAAAGGCUUGAAUAUUCUUCUUCUGAUGAAAUUUUGCUGUAUUUGAAUAAGACUAAGCAUUGGCUAGGUAAAAUUUUAAUCUGCGUCCGGUAAUGCAGUGUAAAGUUCGAUCUAAAUGCCUAUUUGACACAUUAUGACAUCAUGUGCGUGUUACUAAGCAUACAGCUAACUUUGCACUCAAGUACAAAAAGUAAAAGAUACUGAAUUUAGAAAAGGGAAUACCUGCUGAGGAUCAUUGGUCAAGGCAUCCAAUACUCCCUCAGCCUCACUAAUUGUGGCUGCAACAUGGAGAGGUGUUAUAUUUGAGGGGCCCAUCAUAUCAGGUCUAAACAAAAAGCCAGGAGGAGUUUUCUCCUUUAAAGCAGCCUCUGUUCUGUAUCUCAAUAGAAGUUCGACCAAUGGCUUUGACUUCUUCCUAACAGCAGUAUGAAGCAAAUCUUCUCCUAAAGCAAACUCUGAUGGAGUCUGAUCAUCUAAGUCAAUGCUUCCAUGAAACAUUACAUCUAAAAGCUUCUUAACAACUGCACACCAUUCUCGAUUCACGGCAAAGGACACAAGCCACCUGAACCGGGUCGGAGUAAAGACCUCAGUGUGAAACUCUAUUUGCUGAGAUUUAGACUGCAUGUGACUCCUUCGAAGUAGCCAACCCAUUUCAUGUAAAAAUUUUACUGCCUCGUGUUGGGUAUUUAUAGAUCCCAUUCCUUCUUCAAAGAGUUUAUCGUAUGAGGCAACAUUGAUUUCAUUCUCUAGAGCGCGAAUCUCAGAGCAAAUGUUGUCUUCUGCAACUAUAAAUGGAAAAAUGAUACUGCUAUAAUCAUAAUCUUCAACCUGUAAGCAUAACCAGACAUUAGACGGAAAUAAAAGGGUGUGGAAACAGGCAUUAUUAUCAACCAUAAUAGAGCAGAAACCUCAAUAAAUCCUCUCCCAGUUGCAUCAGGGAUGGAGCAAGAGAAGCUCAGACACUCUGGUAAUUCAUUAGUACCAUUACACAAAGCUUGUGUUGUUUCUUCGAACAAGUACUUCCCAUCAAAUGCACAAAGUAACCUAAGUUAGACAGAAAUUUUUGUGAGUUAAAAACGAGAAAAGAGAAGGAAAAAAAAAAAAGCCAAGGUGAAAAAGAGUAAGAUGGAAAAGAAGAUAAUGCAAGUAGAAACACACCUUGAGGUGGAUUGUGCCAGACUCAAGCCCUUUACUGUGAAGUUAACCGUAGAAGAACAAGGAACAGCAAUAGGCGUGACUGACAAAAUUUUGCAAGAAUUAUGUGUUUCGGAUGGUAAAGGAGCUUCUAGUAAAACCAUGCCUACAGCAACAGCACUAAUAAGAUGAGACAAGGAGAUUCCAGAAAUUGAGUGUAGCUAAUAAUAUAAGAAGCUGUUUGGUCUGACUGGAGCUUACACAGAAAUGCUGUUUGUAAAGCUGUUAUCAGAAAAAUUCAACCACAUUUUCACUAAAAUUACCAAACAGUAGGCAAAAGCAGAUUUUGGGACCUAGAAGCUUAUGUUAGCUUUCAACUACAACAAAAGCUCCAGAUCUUCAGUUUGCUAAAUGCCUAAAUGCUACCCCUUAUAAUAGAAAAGCUACAUCAGAAGCCAGGCCAAACAUGCACCAAGUAGAAAAAAGAUUAUUAAAACAAUAAAAGAAAUAAUGUACUACUCUAGACAAUGUCCAACGCACCAUUGUAAAUAAAUGCCAUAUGAUGUUGUACCCUAGCAAUUACCCAUCCAGUCCUCCAAAAGUCGUCACUGGAGAUAUUGAGUAGCCUCUCCAUCCAAGAAGUAAGAUCAUGGUAGAGCUUUAUGUACAACAAGUUAGCAUAAACUAGUAAGCAGUAGAAGAUGAUAACUAACAAUUCUGGUAGUUCAUGAUAUUAUGUCACAUGUAAAAGGUUACCUCCUCCCACAGAGAGUCAGCCAGACGAAGAUAAAGUGUUAGAAUGAUACAACCAGGCCUAAUAUAGCUUUCCAUCUCGGUAGGACAAUGUAACAACCAGUUGGAUAUCUGUAAAUGAAAUUCAUUAAUAAGCUACUAAAGGAACAUGUACCAGCAAGCAUUUUUUUUGUUUAAUGCUAGAAGUGUAUAAGGUAUAUAAGUUAAAUAAAAUAAUUUACCUGCGGAUGCAAAACAAGAGGGAAAUCUUUUGGAUCUUUUCCAAAGAGCUUGAAGACAAUUUUGUCUGUACGACUCUGCAAAUGGCAUAAAUGUUAUGAAGAAGAAACUUACUUAUGUUUCGCUAGAUUUAUAAAAUAUUUGACAUGAAAACAGUUGUUCGAACCUAUUAGAGAGUAGCGGUCCUGGAUACAUAGAGAGUUAUUUUCCGUUAAACAGACAAACUCGAAAUUCAAAUGAUUUUCAAUGAUGUGAAAUUUCUGGAAACUUCAUAGCAGCCAGGAAUAAGAAUCAAGCAUUGCCACAAUAUUUGUCCGACAAUACAAUUUCCCCAAGAUACAUUACUAUGCCCACUUCGAGUGCACAAGCAAAAAGUUGGGCAGUUUUAGCAUUAGAAACAAGUAAUGGAAAAAUCCACUUCAAGUGGUAACUUAGUUCAAGAUAGUUUAUUUGCUGAACAAGGAAAAUGUAAAACUCCCUUUUGAGUUUGCUAAUGAAAAAAUGAGCCUACACAUAAGUUUUGCAAUAUAAUAAUGAUUAUAUUUAUGGUUCACAACCAACUUUGGUUCAAAUAGUUAAAUAGCUAAAGUAGACAAGACACCGGAUGAAGCUGGAGCUCAAGCUUUUGCUAACCAGAGCUCAACAAUAGCAAUGCAAAGAACGAAGUUUUCCAGCAGAGAGUAUCCAAUUUUUAUGUAGACAAAAGUACUAGAAUGUUGAUUGUCGAACAAAGAUGAAAUACCUGAUCAUUUCUGUUCGAGUUUAGAGAUCGCCAAGACGAAGAAUCUAAAUUACCAUUCAUCUGUGACGGACCGGACUGCUUCACCAUCCAAGUAGCAUAAGCAAGUGAACCAUUUUGCUGAGUGGCAGUUGUUGCUGUGUGCUGUUCUAAGCAAUGCUCUUGAUCAUUAUAGGUGCAAUUUAAAUCAAAAUUCUUUAACCUAUUAAGUUGCAAAGGCGCCUCUUCUGUCCUUUGAGAAGGAAUUCCUGGCUCUUUCUCUACAACAGGAGCUCCUGCUUUAGUUCUUUCCAAAGGCAUAGCUGAAGCUGCAGCAGUAGUAGCUACAGUAGUAUUAGGUUCAAGCAAAGUAUAGCUGUUUGGAAGUGCAUUAGCAGCUUCUGAUGACGGCCCAGCAGAACUUCCAGAUUUGUGCAGAUUUUCUUGAGAUGCCUGAAGGAGCCGAGCAAUGUUUCUUGAAUCAGAUGAACCCGCGAGUCCAGCGAGGUUUGUCAGGAGAUGGAUCAGAAGUUCCUGAUUAUUUGGUUGCUCAGAGUUAACAGCUGCAAUAAUUUCAAAACAAAAAUUCAUUAUCGCAUCAUCAAAGUUAUCAUAGAAAAUUAAGUUUACAAUAGCAAAAAAAAUAUGUUUGAAAUAAUAAUAUCGACAGAAUGGUAUGAUAUACUAUGCGGAAGUGCAGAACAAAGAAAAGAACAUGAUAAAAUAUUAAAAUGAAAAGCAGUCUUGUGACUGAAAUGCUGCAACAAAAGAUUCAUAAGAAGAAGCAUGUAAUAGUAUACAGAACAUCAGAGAAAUGGAAUUAUGGAUUUCCAAUAUGCAAUAUAAUAACUUACACUCUAAAUUGGAAAGUAUUUUCAGCAAACUGAGCAAUAUAUAGCUGCUAUUUUGAUCACCAUCGAAAGAGCUCCCAUUCGGAGUGGGAUUGGCUGGAGUUUUUCUUCUCCUUUCGUUGUGCCCAGCCAGUCGCCGCCGGCAACUUCUCUUGUCUCCAUCAAAUUCUUGGAGAAGGUGGAACCUGCCAAUACAAUAUAACUACAUUUAUAAACCCACAGCAAAAUGUAUUAUAUAAUAUUCUCGGGCAUAUUAUGGGACAAAGUUUAUAUUUUAUUAAAUACUAGCAUAAUUAGUUCAACCAUCAGAGAACCAAAUUAUGCUAAAAAUGAUCAUUUGUUUGGUUGCGGUUGACUAAACAGCAACCAAGCAUAAUUCUACUCAGCAUGUAAUAUCAAUCCAAUAGACCACCAAGGGCACCACUACCUGGCAAUCAAAUUUAGUUGACGGAUAAUAACCAAACGAAUCAAUACGAUUACCAAAAUAAUUCAACAGACAAAUAUUUAUCUAGCAUGAAAUUAAUAAAAAACCUGCUACAUUGCUGACAAAACCGCUUCAUAUCAUUCCCUACAAGCGCACUCUUGGCUUUGUAAUGCACUUCGCAAACCUUGUGCCUCCUCAGGUAAUCCCUUGCUUCAGUGAGAUCACCCCCGCAACCCGCCACUUGGCAAGAGGGCCCACUCGAAUUUCUGCCCUGCAACUUGGCACUCUUCUCAUUGUUCUCUUCUAGGGGGGCAGGCCCAGCCUCAGAAACCAGAUGAGAUUGUUCCCCGAGCUUCAAGGAAGGAGAUCCAAAUUGAUCAUAAGAUUCAUCAUCUUCUUCCUCUUCUUCUACCACUAUAAUCCUCCUACGCUUCCCUUCUAGUUUUCCAUUACCUUUCUGAGUGAGACCGAAAUCGAUCUCGUUGGGACCAAAAGUUGAGCGAUUUGCUUGCAUGGCAGCUUCUUGCACACAGAAUAAUUGCUUGUUACGGCAAUCCGAUGGAGCAGAAUUCAGCGGCGUAGCCGUGAAGAGACUGCCGUCCCAUUUCCAAUCAUUCAAAUCCCAAUCAAAAUUCUUCUUUUUGAGUCCAUUGGAUGUUUUGGCACAAUGAAGCUGAUGUUCUACGCUGCCACCGACUUUAGCCUCCAUAGGAACCGAAAUAUAUAUCUCUCAAGUUGAAAGGUCGGAUUGAAUCGACGAAACAGAGAAGUCAAAAUUCAGAGAUUUCAUGCCCUAUGUAACAGAAGUUCGUUCUGUGCUAAGCUGCUUGUAAUUUCUAAUCCCCAGGGUUAAAAACAAAAAAGGAACUUUAAUUCAAAUAAUCUAGAUAUUAACAAAAUAAAGCUGUGGCUAUAAAACACUAAUUUUGCACCAAACAUGUAGCUAGGAAACUCCAAUUUAAGACCAGGAGCUCAAGUCAAAUAGAUCUCACAUUCUAAACCCUAAAACGGCCGAAUUCUCAACAUAAACAGCAUCCAGGUCACAGAAAAUAACUCUCAAACGAUCAGAUUGUAAGAACCCUAGAAUUUCUCAACCUCGCAGGGCACUGAUUCACCAAGCACAGUGCAAAUUAGAGAGAUCUACUAAAACAAAAACUCUUAACUCCUAAAUACAUCUACUCCACAAUCGAACUACAGCAAACCCUGGGAUCUCAUAUCAUGUCGCGGAAAGAAAAGCAAACUUCGAUUCGGAGAGGAGAAAAACCCUUCGGAUCGAAACAAAAUCGAACGAAAAAAAACCCCCAACAAUGGCGAUCUAAUAAUGGACGCGCUCGAGAUUCGUGGCGGCGGAGGCAGGAGAGAGGAAACCGAGGCGGAGGGACCGGUGAUGCGACCAACACCGAAUUACUCGGCGUAAAAUUACGAAUAAAAAUAUAUACAAAGAAAAAUGGGGGAAAUGGAUGCUUCAGGAAUCGAGCAAUUUCGGUUGUUGAAGUGGUUUAAUCAAAUACGGUUUGGUCGUACUGGUACUGAUAAAAAAACACAAUUCCCCGUAGCGUACAUUUGGGCGUAGCUAAGACAAACGUAAAAUACAUUUUUUAAGUAUUUUAAAAAUGUUCUUCUCUAGUGUAAUAAUAAUAAUAAUAAUAAAAUUAAAAUUCUAAACAAAAAAAAAAAUCAUUGCAAAAGAAAAUUUUGAGAUAUUUCUUAAUUUUUUUGGUGCUUUAAAAUAUUAGAGUGAGUUUUGGUAACAUCAUUUUCACUAUUAAUAGCAAUAAAUUUUAUAAAAAUACUGUGUUAUUGAGAAAUUCACGUAACAUUACAUUAUCUUUCAUAUAUAUUUUAUUUAGAUUAGAUGUGUGGACUAAUGUCUUGGUAUUAUAUCCACGUGUCGGCUGUGAGAUGAAAUCAAAGGAAAAACAAUGAAGAUGAUAAUCUUUUCAAAGUAAAUAAAAAAAAAAAUAUGGGCCAAGUAGCAACCUCGGCCCAUUACGGUGGAUUAGCAUAGUCUAUACAGCCCACUCAUUAACUGAUCGGUCGUAAGAGAUCUAAUUUCAAUAUUAACAUAUAAAAUUUAUUAAACCUGGUCGUUAUUUAUUUAAUUAGAUAUAGCCAAAUUUAAUCAUUUUUACCUAUCUCUAUCAUAAGUGAAUCUUUUAAUAUUAAUGUUUUAAUGAUAUGCACGUGCAAAUCAAAUUGCUCCGAUGUGUUAUCCGAGUAUAACAGCAACUACUCGAAUCUAAAACUUUUUUUAAAAAAAGAAGCUAAUUAAAGAAAACAAGAUAAGAAAUAAAAAGGAAAGUUCCUUUUUAUAUACUUUCUACCAGAUUAUAACCACUCAAUAGUCCUGUUCUUCACCUUCCCCAGUUAAGAGCUACAAAGCCCUUUUUCGUUCCAUCUGGUCCCAGUGAAACUCAGAUUUCUACAAUUGGUUGAACAAUCCAAAGCGCGUGUUGUUGACGUCCAUUAAAUGUUCAAAUCGAGUCCAAUUUAUAAAAGAUUAUUUGGUUGUAUUUUACAGCUACGUCUAUCUUCUCAGUUUGGAUGUGUGUGUGUAUAUAUAUAUAUAUAGAGUUCGGCUACUAUACUAUUAAUAGUACGAAACACUUAGUGCUAUUAAGUUUUCCGCCGUUAAAUCUACCAUUUUGAUCAUUUUCAUCCGUUAUAUCAUAUUAUUCAACUAACCACCCGCUCAACCUUAGGGGGCCCAUAUUAUUCUAACCGCAUAUUUCUUAAUUCAAUGGCCAAAAACUUGGUAGCACCAAUGACUUGGUACUAUUAAUAGCAUAGUAGCCUAGUUNAUAUAAAGUUUGGCUACUAUUCUAUCGAUAGUAUCAAGUUCUUAAUACUAUCGAGUUUUCUGUCGUUAGAUUUAUUCGUUGAUCAUUUCUACUCAUUAGAUUGUGUUAUUCAACCAAUCACCCAUUCAACUCUAAGGGAUCACUAUCAUCCUAACCGCACAUCCUUUCAUCCAAAGGUCGAAAACUCAAUAGCAUCAAGCGAUCAGUAUUAUCAAUAGUAUAACAGCAUAGUUUUAUAUGUAUAUUUAAUUGGAACUAGGCUACUAUAUUAUUGAUAAUACUAAGUAAUUGGUGCUAUUAGGUUUUCGGUCCUUAAAUUAAAAUAUGUGCGGUUAGGAUGAUAAUGGUCCUCUAGAGUUGAGUGGAUGGUUGGUUGAAUAAUAUGAUGUAAUCGGUGGAAAUAACUAAAAGGGUAGAUCUAACGGCGGAAAGCUUGAUAGCCCCAAGUGCUUGGUACUACUGAUAGCACAAAGUAUUUGAUACUAUUGAUAGUACAGUAGUUGAACUUUAUAUGUUGGAUUGCAUGUUGAUGGAAAUUAUGUUUGCACAUUUUAUUAGUAUAAACACGGAAUAGUAAGAUUAUCCUUAAUGUAAGGGGAAAAAAACUUUUUUUUUGUUUAAAGGUGAUUAGAUAGAUGAGCUUGUUGUGACUAAUUUAGAUAUAAUUCUAUCUACUGCAGCUGUAUUUCAUUUAGUAAUUUCAAGUCCAAGAAUUAGAUGCUAAUGUAGCAAUUCAAACAAUAGAAUUGGCUGUAUGCGUAAUUAGAUCUACACUAUAAUAGCAACUACAUGUGACUAAACAGCCUCUUGUUAUCUUUUUUUUUUCUUUUUCUUUUUUUUUUUUCUUGCGUUAGUGGAGUAACAAAAUCCACAAUAGUCAAAAGCAAUUACAGGAGCAUCCGACAACAAUAGGACAGAUAAAGAUGACCAGAUACAACUUACUGACAAUGACAAAUUUAGCCCAAGCCAGAGAGGCCCAAUAAGACGACCCAUUCUCUUUCGAAUCGGCCCAUUGACCUGCUAAACAGCCCUAAGAAACAUUUUCUCAAACCGCGUUGUCGCCACUUUCACUCUCUAUCUACCAAUAUGAUUUAAUCAGUUUUACUGAAUUUAUCUGAAAUUUAAACUAUUUUAAUUUGACUAUUUAUUCUUUCAAAAUAUUAAUUUUGUUACAUAAUCUUUCAAUUUAUUUAAUUUAAGCUAGGCGAUAAUAUUUUGAAUUGAAAAUUUAAAUGAUUGUUUAUCUUUACAGAUUAAGUUAAUAUACUUCGUAUAUUUCUCGUAACUAUAAAUUUAUUAAAGUAACUUAAAUUUUAAGCCAAGGUUUUGAAAGUUUUGAUAGCCGAUUAAAAAUUGAUCCAUUACUCUGGUAAGUUCAAUACAUUUUUACAUAUUAAACAUCGUAUUACUCGUCAAUAUAUUUAUGUACCCACCGUACAUUUAGGAUGCAAACGGAUCCGGGUUGGUGGAGCUCCCACCCUGAUCUGUCCCAAAUGGAACAGUAAAUGGAGAGAAAUAAAUAGAUUUAUGAUAGAAAACAUGGUAAUUUUUAUGAUCCAAGACGGAUUUGAGGCAAGAAACGAGAAAAAUUUUCACUCUCUCCGAAUCCGUCCCGCCACGAUCCACCUUGAAAACUGUUUAUAUUUCAAAAAAAAAAAUCCCUAAAAACCAUGUAUUUACAAAAAAAAUUCAAAAUACAAAUAAGUUGGUGCUUUUCAUUUCUCAUAUAUUUUGAAAUUUUUAAAUUUUACUUCGAAUUGUAAUUGAUAUUUUUUAUUUUUAUUAUUAAUAUUAUUAAUUAUAUAUAUAACUUAGUAACAUUAUUCAUUAUUAUUAAAAAUAUUAAUUUAUAUUUUACAAAAUAUUAAUACUAUUAUAAUUUUUUCAAAAAAUAUUAAUUGGCUAUGCGGAUUCGGAUCGCUGGCCGAAGUUGGGUUAUGAGACAGAACAGAUUAUGAGAUAUAUUUUUUAACUCGUUACAAAUUCCGGACGAAGUGCGAGGUGAAAUUUUGAUAGUUGGGACUGGACUCCCGCCCUCCAGAUCUGUUCCGUUUGCAUCCCUACCUAAAUUGUUGUCCCAAAGUCAAAUACCAGCGCAUAAUUUGGUGCGGAAUUUAAUUAAAUUUACACUGGCUUAUUAGACGACUUCAAAUUUCUAAUUAAGCAGCUUCCUUUCUCCAUUCGUCCAAUUUCUCUACAGUUGGAUUUUUUUUUCUUUUUUCUUUUUUCUUUUUUCUUCUUUUUUUUUUUUUUUUUUUUNUUUUUUUUUUUUUUUUUUUUUUUUUUUUUUUCACCCCCCACUUUAGACUCUUCUUUUUUGGGAGCGUUUACCAGCGUCGCCCCGCGUCGCGAUCGCCGCCGCAGUCCCGGGACGCGGUUUCAAACACUCCACCCUUUACCACUUCGGGGGUACCCAUCCGGCUUUGCUCACUCAAAAGUGUACCCCAUAAACUACCCCAAUGCACUCCAAACGCCAAAUUGCACCUUCAAAUGCUCGGGUUUAAUAACUACUAGUGCAGUGACCCGCACGAUGUUGCAGACAGAUAAUAUUCAAUAUUUAAUUUAUAUUCUUAUAUUAAAAUUAUUUUUUUAAGAAAAGAAUAUUUGAUGUAUAAAUAAUUUGAAGAAAUAUUUAAUAUCUUGUGAAAAAAAAAGGUAAAGAAAGAAAAAAUAGUAAUUACAUAAAAGGAAAAAAACUGAAUAAGAAAAAAAAAUAGAAGCAACUGAAGAAACAGCAGCAGCGACAACCAUAGCUACAACGAAAUUUACACCUUUAACAGUGUAAAAAAACCUGCAAAUAUAUAUAUAUAUAUAUAUAUAAAAAUUAGGCNCACGAUGUUGCGGGUAGAUAAUAUUCAAUAUUUAACUUGUGUUUUUAUAGUAAAAUUAUUUUUUUAAGAAAAGAAUAUUUGAUGUAUAAAUAAUUUGAAGAAAUAUUUAAUAUCUUGUGAAAAAAAGAUAAAGAAAGAAAAAAUAGUAAUUACAUAAGAGGAAAAAAAACUGAAUAAGAAAAAAAAAAUAGAAGCAACUGAAGAAACAGCAGCAGCGACAACCAUAACUACAACGAAAUUUACACUUUUAACGGUGUAAAAAAACCUGCAAAAAAAAAAAAAUAUAUAUAUAAAUAAAAAUUAGGCCAAGAAACUUACAAAAGCUGAGACAAUCAAUUGUAGAUACAGAGGCAAGAAAUUCCUAAUAAAAAAAAAUUAAUAUUAAUUUAAAAUAUAAUAUACAAUAGAAAAGUUGGAGUAAAGAAAUAAAAGAUCAAAUUCAAAGUAAAAAGGAACCUGUUAAUAUAAUUAAUUGUUACAGCCAUAAGCAGUCAAUUUUCUGAGAGAAAAUAAAAGUAUUUAGUAUUUUCUGAGAAAAAAACCGCACAAAAAAAAGGUAACGGAAAAUACCGUAUUAAACAUAAGAUGACCUUUCAGAUUCAGCAAAUAAAUAUAUCCGAUGAAAUGAAUCCAAACCAUUAUUGCGACAUACUGGAAUGGAGCGUUGCUACUCGGGAGUCGAAGCAACCCUAGAGAUGAAGGUGGAAUGAAGAAUCUCUGAAAGAAUUAAAUGGGGAGAAUGAGAAAAAUAAAUCGACGGAUGAGAUCCAUGUGCAAAUAAGUUAAAAUGAGUUGGGUUACUACAAAAGCCUAUAAUUAAUUAAGAUGAUAGGUGGGACCCACAAAAGAGAAUUUGAAAUGUCUCUUAACCAAUUAAAUAAAAAAUAUAUUAAACAAAAUAUAUUAGAUUGACAGGUAGAUCCCAAAAAAAUUCAAAUCAAGAUAAUAUCGCCACGUGGACAAUAGGACAUGAGAUUUCAUAAUAGUUAUAGAUAAUAGAUUGUAACUGACCGUCCCUAGAAUAAGUGGCAAAGGGUUUGGUGGUUGGUAUCCGAGACCCAAGUUCGAAUCCUAAUUGAUUCAUAUUUUCAGCUAAGUUUAUUUCUAAAUAAAAUAAACGAAACGGGUAGCGUGCUACCUAUCUCUCAAAAAAAUAAUAAUAAUAACUAUUGUAAUUAAUGCCUACAUGGUAACUUAAUUUUAGCAAAUUUUGAUGUUAAUGCCGAGUGGCUUUGUGUUUUCUAUUUAAAUGCCCUAAGAUUACUACUUUUUUUAAAAAAAAAACUAAGGUUGAUUUUGAAUUUGUUCGAUAUGAUUUGCUCAAAACUCAAUUUGAAGCUCAAAUGUAAAUACAAAUGGUAGCCUUUCGAGAGUUGAGUUUAGAUCAUAAACUAACCCGCUGGUAAUCUAAAGACAUUAGUACAGCUAUAAACCAACAUUUGAUUCAAAGGAAACAACACAAUUUCUUACCAAAUAAUCUCCAAAGACCAAAAGAAUCCACCAAAAAAAUAAAUAAAAAAUAUAUAUAUAUUUCUAUAUUCCUGCAAAAAUAUAAGACUUAAUUACACUAUUCUAUACUGCUUACAGAUUUAUUUUUUUUCCACUUCUUAUAUUGUGCUACUUUUUUUUUUUUCCAAAGACACCAUCAAUUAUUCUUUUUUUAAAAAAAAACUUCUUGCACUAUAAGCAAUAAAACUGUAAUUUUAAAUAAAAGUUGUUAAAAAAUAUUGAUUAAAAAUAGAAAAACAUAUAUUUAAACUAAUUAUAUGGCAUAAAAAAAUAAAAUACAUAAAAUAAGAAAAAAUAAUUAAAAUAAUUUGUUAGAUUUUUUAACGAGUCUAUCAUGAAGAUUUAUUUUAUAUUUUUUUAAAUGUUUAAUUAGUGUCUUUUAAUAAAGUUAUUAGAUUUUAUUUAAAAUAAUAGAUUUUUUAACAGUAGUAUAAAGAUUGGUGAGAAAAAAAAAUAAUUUAGUGGUAUCUAUAAAAAAUACAAUAUAGAAAAAAAAAUAAAAUACAAUAUUUUUUAAAAAAACUAUGUUAUAAUAAUAGUAAAUUAAGAAAAAAAAUACUGUGUUAAAAUACAUUGAACUACGUCAAAUUAUAAUCCUACCUUUUUGUACGUACAAACUUAAAAACACGAGCAAAUACUAAUUCAUCAAAUUUAUCUCCUGUCCCAAUUCCCUGAACAGCAGUGCCACGUGCUCCACUCGGCGGAUCCGGUCACACUCUUGUCCUCUUGUAGUAAUCUUACGUCGACACUGCAUUCCAACGCCUGUACGCAUGUUUGCCGAGUCGUCGUGAGUGGUUAAUUUCUUUCAUUAUUCACGGGGCAAACAUCAAAUAUCUCCAAAUAAUUUCGCACUUUUUUACUUUAAUAUCAUAUAAUUUAAAAUAUAUUAAGUUAGUAGCAUGUGAUUCGCACUUUUUUAUUUUAGUAUCAUAUAGUUUUAAAUGUAUCAAGUUAGUACUCAGUGGUUUUACACUUUCCCACUUUAAUACCAUGUGAUUUAAUAUUUCGUUAAAUUAUAUAUCCCGAAAUAGAUAAUAAAAAGUAAAAAUUGAAACUACAUGGUACUGACUUGAUACAUUUGAAACCACAUAGUACUAGAGUGGGAAAUCACUGGGUAUUAACUUGAUCCACUUUAAACCAAAGGGUACUAAAAUGAGAAAGCGCGAAACCGCGGGGUGGUUGAAGUUUCCCUUUAUUCAUGCUCGUAAAACUGUAGCGGUAACCACACCGCGAGUGGCGACACUACCGACCCAAGACUAAAGGGUACGAACAAACCAGCCAAGCAUCUCUCUCUCUCUACCCCUGCUUCGAUCGAUCGCGGAGGUUUGAUCUUGCCCUAAAUUCUCUUCCCCCCCCUUUUUUUUUUUCUGUUUCUUUGUUGUAUGAAUUACGAUCUUAUUUUGUUUGAUCUGUUCGUACUUCACAAUUUUCUCCUCCGAUCUUUGAGCGAAGUUGAUCUAAGGAUUUGGAUUAGUUUUGAGUGGUUUGGGAGUAUUUGGAUCCGAAUUUUGUUGUUGGUCGAUUGUGAGGAAUAGGAUUUUGAUGAUGAUUUGAAAAAGGAUUUUGUACCGCGGAGAGGUAGAUUCGGCGUGGAUUUGGUUUAUGAUCUUCGUUAUUGAUGAGUUGAUUGCGCAUCUAUUGAUAGGAAUUGUUGGACUGGAGUAAAAAGAUGGAGCGUUUGUAGGGUUUUCGUUGGUGUUCUACUUAGCCUUAGAACACACAGAUGCGAAAUUACGAGUUAAAGUAAUUAACCUUUACUUUUUGUUGCGUAACUGAAGAGGCAAUCGACCUAUAAUUUGGUAACUGAGAGUGUUGCUUGGUUUCCCCUUUUAUUUUUGAGUUAGGGUUUUAUAUUUUAUUUUAAUUUUUUGUUUUGAUGUUUAGUAGGCUAUGGAUUUCUCGAUGUACAUCUUUCUAUCAGUUAGAGAGUAAUUGUAACAAUAAAAAAAGAAUUCUCAUUCAUUAUCUGUUAAGUAAAGUUUUAUUUCUUUUCAGAGCAUCUGCUUGUUAUAAGUUUAUUGUUGCAAGUAAAAGCUUGUAGGAUCUUCCGGUAAACACAUCGAUGCUUGUUAAUUGCUGUCGUUAGUUAACAUUGGCGCUUAAUAUACUAGGCAAGUCGAGAUCUUUUCACACAUUUUCUCUUACUCAUCUUACAUCUUAUCAUAGUUAGAAAUAGUCUAAAAAUUCUUGGCCUGCUGAACCAGCAUAUGGAGGAAUUUUAUGCAGUUUGAACUUGGCAUUUUGAUCUAAAAAUGUGAGAUAUUUGUCUCUGAUUUGAAGGGGUAAGAUGAAAUUCUUCUAUUGUAUGAGAUAGAGUGGGCGGCACCUCCAAAUUCUAAGAGUAGAAGUAAGGGGAACAAUAAAGAAAAAAGGAAAAGAAAGUAAAAAGUGUCAAUAACAUUUUGUGUUGUCGAUUUUGUUGGAUGUCAGAUCUUGCUUAGUUCUCUCAACCAUUUUUCUUUGUGUUUGCGAAAGUAAAGGGAAACUUUAGAAAACAGCAUAGAUAAGAAAGCAUGGCUUUGUAGAAUGACAACUGAGAGUUAGUUUCUAACCCUGAACCUUAUGGAGAGAGUAAGCUCUGUGUCUCAUUAUGUUCCAUCUCGCUCUUCACUUCCAUUUAUUAGACAGCUAUAUCUCAGGUACUGCUUUAAAAGAAUAUGUCGUGCUUCGGAUGCUGUGGGAACGAUGAUGCUCAACGAGUACCUGACAGUGGAGGUGCUUAUGUCGGAAAUUAUGCAGCAAGUAAUGCACCUUCGAUAGAAUAUAUUAUGUAAAGGAAAGCGUGUAUAAAUACCCUCUUAAUUUUAGGUCCUUUUGAAAGUGUCCUUUGAAGUAUUCUUUUCUUCCAUAAAUGACUCCUCCGAACUUUUGCUCAUUGUGGUUUAAGUUAUUUUCUUCUGCUGAAUGGGGAUUUCGUGAACUUCAACGACAUAUUUGUAAAUUUGACUGCUUUUUGUACCCCACUCUUGAGCUGAUGCAAUUAUGGGUUUCUCUAACAGUUUACAGCUGAUGGCUGAACGAACCCUUAAUUAUAAUGGAAUCCUGAAUUCAAUUGAUGGAAACAACCUAAAUCAAAACAAGCAGAAGUUGAUAAGGUGUCAAUUAAAAAAAAAAAAAGGCGGUCUUUCUUCAAAUGGUCUAUAUUGAGGGGUUCUUCGUAUCUGUGGCUUUAUAUUCUAAUGAAUGAGCAUUGCUUCCUAGGGAAUGAUGGAGCUUAUCGUAGUACAGACCCAACCCCAAAGGGUGCUCAACCUGUAAAACCUCAACCUAUUGCAGUCCCAGCCAUUCCCGUAGAGGAAAUAAGGGAAGUUACAAAAGGGUUUGGAGAUGAAGCGUUAAUUGGUGAAGGUUCAUUUGGUAGGGUUUAUUUUGGUGUGCUCAAGAGCGGUAGAAGUGCAGCCAUAAAGAAAUUAGAUUCAAGCAAGCAGCCAGACCAGGAAUUUUUAGCGCAGGUUUGCUAAUCAUUUCUGAUUAUCUCAAUUUGCAUGCAUAUUUUCUUCUUUUUUUCUCCCUCUUCCUUAUGUUAAGGAUUUACAGGUGUCUAUGGUGUCAAGACUGAGACAUGAAAAUGUUGUGGAGUUGAUUGGUUAUUGCAUUGAAGGGAACCUACGUGUCCUUGCAUAUGAGUUUGCUACUAUGGGGUCUCUCCAUGAUAUCCUUCAUGGUACGGAACCACCAUGGUUUUUUUUUUUUAAGCUUUUUUGGCUGUUCUAAAUAUUUGUAGCAUGAAUUUUGUAAAUUGCACUUUUUAGAGUGAUAAUCUUGUUCUUUUACCAUAGUGUAGAGUCAUAAUCUGUGGCUGUCUUUUAAUUCGGUGGCAGAAUGUGGAUGAUAUAUUGGAUUAUUCAUUUUAUUAUUGUACACACAUUAUCCAUUUUUCUGUUCUCGGACUUUACCCCCUGAAGUAAAACAGAGUGGGAAAUAUAACAGUUUGGAAGGUUGAGAUAUCCUAUUUAGUUUAUGUCAGUUUAUGUUGUUCAAGUAAUUCUACUAGCAUGGUACCUUUGCAGAUACCCUUACAAUAUGAUGCAUAGCUUUUGCACAUCUAUGUCUCAAGGACAUAUUAAGAGAUUCAUAAAGUUUUAGCAACAUCAACCUAAUGCAUUACAUUGUGAGACUCUGGAAGUUGGUAUUUUGGUACUACUUAUGACAUCGACAUACUCCUUAAUCAUCUAAGGUUCCCUUACUUCACUGAUAUAUAUAUAUAUAUAUAGAGAGAGAGAGAGAGAGAGAGAGAGAGAGAGAGUACGGCUGGGAUACUAUCGAUAGCACGAAGCAUUUGGUGCUAUCAAGUUUUCUGCCGUUAGAUUUACCUCUUUUAUUAUUUUCAUCCGUUCGAUUAUACUAUUCAACUAACCACCUACUCAACCCUAGGGGGCCCACAUCAUCCUAACCACACAUCUUUUAAUCGAAGGGCAGAAAACUUAAUAGCACCAAGUCAUUGGUGCUAUUAAUAGUAUUCCAGCCUAGUUCUAUAUAUAUAUAUAUAUAUAUAUAUAUUGAUGAACAAGCUGUUGGGCUGAAGGGAGUCAUUGGAAGACAAAGUAAAUAAUUUUGUUUUAUGCUAUGCAUCUCAAAUAGACAGCUAACUACUUGCUGCACCAGUAGAGGGGAAAUACUGAAAACAAGAUGAGGAAUUUUUUGAGUUGUGGAAAAAGCUGGAGACAACCAAAUAGUAACAUUAGAAUUCUAAUUAGAGUUUUUUUAACCUAUUUUCCUUUUUGUAAGUGCAAGUAAUGACAUUGUUCGUGUUCUUUCUAUUAGGGCGGAAGGGAGUCAAAGGAGCACAACCUGGUCCAGUUUUGUCAUGGACACAACGCGUGAAGAUUGCUGUGGGAGCAGCAAAAGGGCUCGAAUACUUACACGAGAAAGCACAGCCUCACAUUAUUCAUCGUGACAUUAAAUCAAGCAAUGUUCUACUCUUCGACGACGAUGUGGCAAAAAUUGCUGACUUUGACUUAUCAAAUCAAGCUCCAGACAUGGCAGCUCGGCUUCAUUCUACUCGAGUUCUUGGGACAUUUGGAUAUCAUGCACCUGAGUGAGUUCAGAAAAUACUUCAUGUCUACAAAGUUUUAAUUUGUUGUCUGUAGUUGGUCCUAUGCUUUAUAAUGAGAGUAAUUUUAGAGAAGAUUAUUGCACAAAGGGGUUCUCAACCUUUUGGCAUAGCUUCAGUUUGGUCCUCAAUAUUUUAUUUGUUAUAAUUGGAUCCCCAACCUCUGCAAAUUGUUCUGAUCUUAUUCUUUAAAUUCCUCUAUCAAAGCGGACAAAUAGUUAUGUGAUCAUCAUCUUACCGCAAAGUUAGCGACAUUUGAACUCCUCAUGUGGCGAUUAUGUAGGUAAGGUUACUAGGCUAUAGAAGGUUGCGAACCUAAUACAAGUAAAAUGUCAUGUACCAGUCCGGAACCUACUGAAAAGGUUGGGGACCUAGUGCAACUUAACCUUUUAGCAAGUAAUUUCAGAUUUACUUACAUUACUUUAAAGGAAAAAAUUCCAUACUUCUAGUUACUAUUUUUCUGAAUCUGUUGACAGAUAUGCGAUGACUGGACAACUUAGUUCUAAGAGUGAUGUGUACAGUUUUGGUGUUGUUCUUUUGGAGCUCUUGACUGGAAGAAAACCUGUGGAUCAUACUCUACCAAGAGGGCAACAAAGCCUUGUGACAUGGGUAAAUAUUCCCUUCUCUUUCUAUUUUCCUCGUUGUUUUGAUAUUUAAAAGCUUUGCCUCUUCUUUAAUGCUCCACCUUUUUGGGGAAAAGACUAUAUAUAUGUGGAUGGCAUGGUUGAGUAGUAAAGUACAUGUUAACUCAUGCAGGCAACACCAAGACUUAGUGAAGACAAGGUUAGACAAUGUGUGGACCCAAGGCUAGGAGGCGAAUAUCCUCCCAAAGCAGUUGCAAAGGUAUGUGCGAGAGUUUCUUCGCAAGGAUCUUGCAUUUACCAUAAAUAGAUGAAUUAUUUUAACGACAACAGUCUAUUAUAUUCGCUAAUCUCAAUCGUUUUUGUUGUUCAAAGCCAGCUUCACCUCAUGUGUGAUCUUUCUAGUUCAAUCCAUCCAGAUUUUGAAUCCAAUUAAUAUGUGCAAAUGAAAUUGUCUUAUCUAAUCCAAUCGAUGAUUUGUUAGCUGAAACAAUUGCUUGGUUCUUGUUUAAGUUUGAUAAUUUUUAAUGGUCUUGAGCUAUCAAAAACUACCCAAAGUGCAUGUUAUUAUUACUUUUUUCAGCUAUCCACUUUUAGUCGUUUGCUCGGUAGUCAUGAUUUUAGACCCAACAUCUUGCCUUAUUAUUUUAUAUAUUGUUAAAACAGAUGGCCGCUGUCGCUGCAUUAUGUGUGCAAUACGAAGCCGAUUUCCGACCGAACAUGAGCAUUGUAGUCAAAGCUCUUCAACCGCUGCUGAAUACACGGUCCGGGCAUCCCGGUGAAGCCCCUGGAUCGUGAACCCUUGAAACCCGCCCAUCUUCUCUUUUUUGUUCUGUAUGAUUUAGCAAAAUGCUAUCUUUUAAGCUCGUUUGUUGAUUGCUGGUUGUAGAUUAUUUAUAUGUAUAUUUCGAAGCUCUUCUCGUAUCAGUGAUUUCAGAACCUACUUUAUUCAGAUUUAUUUUUGGAUGUAUGGGAGGAUCUGUCCUUGCGAACAGUGGACAUGCAUUUCUCAAGUCUCUUCGUGAUACUUUGGUUGAUGAGAAGUCCAAAUGCUUCGAAUUUGAAGCGCUGAAUAGGUGCUCAGAAUUGGGAGCUAAUAGCAAUAUCUUUGGUUAAGUUUCGUUUGAUCAUUUGGUUGUCCUCGAACGUUUUAAUUCUACCUUGUCUCAUUUUUCGACUGUGAAAUUGAAAAUUAUAUUAUAUAAAUAUAUAAUAUGUAGCAAAGCUCAAGUGGUCAGGGAAUAAUGAGCCAGAAAGUACUGGUGGUCUAUCAGAUUAUUAUAUUCGGGCAUUUAAAAAAAAACGAGUUGAAAUGGUUUGGAUUUGAGAUUGUGGUCGACGCAAAUGGGAUGACUGGUCCGCAGCUGACGUGGCAGACCGGGUCCCGCACUAAUCUCAUAACCAGAGGGAGGCUGUGAAGUGUGGAGGUUCGUUUCUGGUUUUGAUGAUUUUAAUGAUUUUGGUGUCUUAAGGCGAUUUUACUAUAUAUGGCAUGUUUCGAAACACCCCUUUAUGUGACUUCACCAAAAAAGGAAAUUUUAGUAGAAAUACCAUAUUCUAUAGUAGAAUGUACGGAGACACCUUAACAAUACGCCAUUUUGGAAUCCCUCAUCUUUACUUUUCUUUUUACAUUUCUUAAACUUCUCUUUUUUUUAAUCUUAUUUUUUAGAUAAAAAUUAAGAUUAUUAUAUUUGAUAAAAUUAUCAAUAAAUUUUCUAAAUUUGAUUACUCUAUUCCAUAAACGCAAAAGAGAUGCCAAUCAAAAACAUAAAAAAAAAACUAAAAAAGUUGAGGUUCUUAAUACCUAAUCCAAGUUGACCAAGUGAAGCAUUAGAUUCUACCUGGCUAUUUUUGACUCAUUAGUUGCCUAUUUAUGCUUCAUCACAAAUACAUUCGUUUAAAUAGUUAUACGAACCAGAACAACACGAAACAAACAAAAAUUCAAAACGGGUGGGAAAAAUAUUUGCAACAACAGAGAGCGAAUAAAAAUAAAAAACUGGGUGACUUGUAAAAGCUCAAAUCGACUCCAAAAAUUGAGAUUACCGCUCUGCCAACUAGAGUUUUUCACUUUUACAUCAAAAGUAAAAUGCUAAAAAGUUCAUCUAUCUCCAACACAGGGUUCUACAUUACUGUAUCUCCAGAAUAAAAAGAGGUGCUUCCCUACUUAAUUCUGAUGAUAUCUAAAGUUCCUUUACACAUUGAAACGGCAGGAAAGGCGGAUCUCCCCUUCACCGUUUUGCAAUGAUAACUAAUGCCAACAUAGACAUAGAUACGAUGAAUUUAAAGCCUGAGCUUUCCCAAAAGUUCUGCUUGUCACCCGAGCCAAGUCCAUUCUGUUGCUUCACAGCCAAUUGAUCUCUUAGUUCUUUCAGGGCUUUGUCUCUUCUCUCUCCCAUCUACAUAUAUAGAAGGAAAUGUUAGGACAACAUAGGAUAAGAGGGUAAGUACAUAGUAUUUUAAAGAAUUUAGUGGAGUAUCAUUACCAUGUUUAUAGGACAGAUGCACUAAAACAAAAAUAAAAUCAGUGCAACAAGCGCGAUGUAGACAUAGAAAGAUGUAAAGAGGAGUGCGACUUUUGUAAAUUCUGGAACAAGUAUAAUUUUCUCAGCCGGAAAAUGACCAUGCAUGAGUACAGAAGAUAAAUUCGAUAGGAACGAAAGCUACAGAACCAAAGGAGAAAGAAAAGCCCAUACUCUGAAAAGAUCCAAUAAAUGGCCAUCCCGAGCAAACUAAUGAUCUAGUGAUUUGAAUUAGUGACAUACCCUCUGAAGUUUUCGCAUCUGAGAUCGUGAUUCUUGAAGACAAAAUUCAAGCUUGAGUACCCUCUUCUUCAGCUCUUGAUCAGCCCGCCGAUGCUUUUCCAGCUAUAGUAAAAUAUAAUUACAUUAUGAACAAGAAAUGCAGCAUUUCAAAUUUGAAAGAUGAUCAAGAUAUAUGACUUACUUGCGAUUCUAAUUCCUUAGUUUUAUGUUUAAAGUGUGCAGAUAAUAUCCUGAUCUCGUCUCUCAACCGUGCAAUCUCCUCAUCCUUGGCAUUCAAAUGCUUACUAAUAUUCUCAAAAUUCUUUGGUGAAACUUCAGCCAAAAUCCUCCUAAGCUCGCAGUCUUUGUUGUCUCCUGCUUUUGCAACUGCAUGCAUAAUCUCACGCUCGAUUCUUACCACCUCAUCUUUCAGUUGCCUUUGUGAGAGUUCUCUUGCUUCUAGAUUCUUCUGAAGAAGAUCUAACUGCUCCUCUAGCUUGUUUACUCGGUUCUCAUGCUCUUUUAGUGAUGCAUUCUUUUCAUUCAGUUCUUUAAGUAAGGACAAGCAUUGGGAUUGAGCUGACUGAGCUGAUGCAGCGCUGGCCUCGGCAGUUUCUCGAGUAAUUGAUAGUUGUGAUCUUAAAUCAUCCAAUUCCUUAAGAUACUGCCGAAGAUAAAAACAAUAAUUACAAAACUUACGGCAAGAAGCUUAAUAUAUUAUCAAGCAUUAAUCAGGCAAGCUGAGGGUGGGAAGGAAAAAAUUCAUAGUCAUGUGAAUAAUAUUACAAAUAUGUUAUAUGCCAAAUAAAUUGCUUAUGAAUGUUGAGAGAGAGAGAGAGAGAGAGAGAGAGAGCAACGAAAAAGAAUGUUAAAGAAAAGGGACAGUUUGAAAAACGUCUAAGACAUUUACUAUGAAACUCUAACCAUACAAGAUCUNUGUUAUAUGCCAAAUAAAUUGCUUAUGAAUGUUGAGAGAGAGAGAGAGAGAGAGAGAGAGCAACGAAAAAGAAUGUUAAAGAAAAGGAACAGUUUGAAAAAAGUCUAAGACAUUUACUAUGAAACUCUAACCAUACAAGAUCUGCCUGCAGACUUGUGUUCCAACAAAAGAUGGGAAUGGAAAAUGAAUGAAAGGGUGUAGGUUGAUACAAACUAUUAGAACCAAACCUAAUGAGUGAAGCUUUUGACAGUUGAAUGGGUUCCAAUCUAUCUGCCACGCCCUUGGAUUAUGGGGUUUUGGGAUUCAAUGUUGUCUGAACACAUCAGAUUAAACAAAGUGCAUGCAUUUACCACUGGGUAGGACUACCCAAACUUCAUCCACAGGUAUACCAUCUUUCCACCAUUUUGAUCCAUUACAGUUUCAGUGUAUGAAAGCGCAAAUAACAUGUUAGGAAAAUUAGGAGUGUUUGAAUAUCGCAUCAAGUAGCAUGUUUCAUGCAUAAAUAGAAAGGUUAGAGCAAUUAGUACUCGUUACAGUGCUCAAUUUCCAUUUAAAUGGAUCCAAAAGUUCAGAAAGGGAAAUACCUACGGUCUGACCAAUUAAAGCAGCAGUCGAGAAAAUGUUGUCUUCACUAUCAUGCUUCGCUUCAAUUAAUAAACCCAAACCUUGAACCAUUAACCAAGCAUGUGGCACAAACAGUUAUAGAUGUACCAACAAAAGCUUUAACUAUUUUCAAGAUCAGUAGGAGAAUCUAUAACCCUUUUCAAUAAGAUAUUCCAACAGAAAAAGUAUCUAUCCAUGCACACAGACAUAGUUGAACUAACGUCACAUAUAUCAAGCAUGUGCUGUUAUAGUUUCAUUUAAUAGUUAAGCAAACCUUGAUUCAUCAGUGGACAAAUACGGAUUCCAUAUUACCUUUCAUUGACAAACACAAACAAUUCCCUAGAUAAUUGAUUAGUUAAUUCGGAUUCGGCAAAAAUUCGGUACGGAUAUAAUACGCAUAAAAUUCAUUAUCUAAUUUUUAAAUUCGUUGAAAAAUUCGGCUUAAAGAAUAGAUUCGGUAAAUAUAAAAUAUAAGAUAAUCUAUAGUUAAAAAUAAAAAUUAUAAGUUUUUUAUUCAUAUUUUCAAUAAUUUGGGAAUAAUUCGCUAAUAAUUCGGUUGGCCCAAAAAUUCGUGAAUAAUUCUCUUUUUUUGGAAAAAAUUCGUGAAUAAUUCUCUUUUUUUGGAAAAAAUUCGUAAACGGACCGUUUAAUUCGGAUUUUCAAUAAUUCGCGAAUUAACUAACUAGGGAUCAUUCUACCAAAAAUGGCUUCAAAGAACUACAUCAUACAAUAGGAAGGAAUAUCAAAACAGAAUAAAACAGCAGUAAUUCACCUGCUCAGUACUGCAUGAGGAAAGCCUCAGUUGCUCAUCCUUGGACUGUAAACAUAUCUGCAACCGCUCCACUUCUUCUUCCAUGCUCUUCGCCUUUGACUCCGCCACCUGUUACAUAAACCCACAAAACUCCAUUUUUUACCCAAAAAACUAACAAAAAAUAAAAGAAAAAUUAACCCUUUCAUGCUAUUUUCCUGGGACUAACCUCCCUAGUUCGAGCCUCUCGAGCAAAAGACUCCUCCUGCGAAGCCAACCUGUUCCGUACAUCCUUAAGCUCGGCUGCUAACGAAACAACGCUUCUCUUAAAGCUCAGUUUCUUCUCUGUGAGAUCCUUCAAAAGAGGGUCCAAAUCUUGAGCCUUCGCCGCCGCCGACAUCUUAGCAACCCCCCAAGAGGGCAAAACCCUUCUAAUAUCCUACUCCCAUGAACAAAGAACAAGCAAAACGACCUUCUCCACAAAAUUUUCAGAAGAGUCCUACAAAAUCAAACAGGGACCACUCAAAAUGUUUCACAAGAGAGUAGCUUGGACAUUGGAAUUUUUUUUUUCUUUUUUUAACAAAUUUUGAACUAAUCUAUGCUUCUGGUUUGAAACCCUAGCGACUAGUGUUCAAUCAAAAAUAGAGCCUUGAAGGCUCUGCAGCAUUUAAUUUGGUCGGCAGGGGAAGCUAAAUCGUUGCUUUCACUGUCACAGAUAAUAAUGAAAAAAUAAAUAUAAAUAAAUACUAAAAUCUUGUUAUUUUUUCUGGAAACUACAAGUAGCGUGUGAACAUAGCGUACUACCAUUUCACUAAAAAAAAAAAAAUACAAACGGAAAAAAAUAAAUCGCCCUAAGAAAAUUACAAGUUCAGGGGGAAAAGAACAAUUAAAAGAAAGCGACGAGCUCGUUACCCUGACAAGCUCGGAUUUGUUCACAACACGCGAAAGAGCUCGAGAUCACGCGAUGCUUCUCGCUUCCUCCUCGUUCUCCAUACGCCUCAAACUCCUAAGAUCGCGUCUCCAAAGUACGAUCUAAACCAGCUUUUCUUUUUCAAAAAAUCACCUCACUUCUCUUCAGAUCAAAAUCGACCUCUCCGCUCGCCUCUACACCUACGCAGUCAAAUCCGGAGCUGCUUCUUCCUCCACAACAUCCGCGUCCGAUUUCUCGGAAAGAAGAGAAGGCCCAUCAGCAAAACCCUGGAAAACACCGCACCUUUGACCCCGCAAUCCUCGCUUCCGCAGCCGGUUCCUUUCGCGUACACGCCACCAUUUGGAGCAGCAACCGCGCCGUCUCCUCCGCCGAUCUCCACAAGCUUCGCCUCAAAACGAACCGAAGAGAAAAAUAUACUAGCGAGUAUUGGGAUUUCCACGAUCUCUCAGAUCGACAUGGCUAGGGUUUGGGGGAGGGAACCUUCCGAGCAAAAGCGAAGAAGAAGAAGAAGAAGAAGAAGAUGCCGCUGCGAAUUAAUGAGCGGAGGGUGAGAGCAGAGUAUGGAGACAGAGGAGGAGAGAGAGACUGAGAGAGGGAGCGUUUCGAUUUAUUUAUUUUAAGCAUUUAUUAAUUUAAUUUAUGGAUUUAAAAAGGGCAAUGUUGGUACGGAACAUUCCGAGCCUGAGGCUCGGAUAGGGAGGCUCGGGGUUCCAGUUCGAACCGGAGCGCGGCAAAAUCCAAAUUUCGUCUUGAGGUACCGGCAGGAGACGGACACGUGUCGGUCUCCAUAUGACAAGUGGAGGAGUUUUCGUUUUACACAAGGACAAAAAUUGCCCUGAUAUUCGGGCUUCUUUGGGAAAGGGAACUAAAAAUAAAAUUAAAUAAAAGAAAGUGUCGCCAAAUAACGUAAUUAUCCCAUAUAAAUAAAGUAACACUUAAAUCGAAUAUAUAAUCACAUAUUCUAAGAAUAUAUUUCGCCUAAUCACUGAUCUGAUGAUAUCUCAUCUAUUUGUGCUGACAAAAGAUCUACUACCUAGUGGUACUGAGUAGAGAUCUUGACGGGUUAGAUUCGGGGCGGAUUUUUAAAAACUCGAAUCCGAACCCGACUCCAAACCAGAGACCCGAACCUGAAUCCGAAUCCGACGGAUAUUAAAAAUUCAUAUCCAAAUCCGAACCCAGCCAAAAAUCUAAAAUUCGAACCCGAAAAUUUGAACCAGAAACAAUUAUUUCUUUUUUCAAUAUUUCAAAAUAUAUUUUAUUAAAUCUAAAUUUUCAAAAUACAAAUUCAAAUAUAACAUCNUUUUUUU